AAGGGGAAGAAGGAUGGUGGUGGAAGGAAGUCAAAGGAGGGGAACGGGAAUGGAGAGAAAGAGGAGAGGAAGCAAGUACAAGUUUCAUCUUCGUCAACCUCUUGAGUUUCUGGAUUGAUGAUCGAUCUCCAGGUAGGGAAUUGAGAGACGGAAAGAAGCAAAUAAGAAUCGAAUUGUUGGGAAGAGGCGUGGAGGUGAAGGGAAAAUGAAGGAAGGAAGGAAUGGGAAUGGAGUAGAAGGAAAAAAUUAGUACUUGCAGAGUCAGAGAAGAGAGGAAAGAAAGAAAUGAAUAAAUAAUAAAAGGGGAGGACUUUGUUGGCCACGUAGGUGUAGACUUUUCGGGUGGAGGUGGUCGGAGUUGUUCUUCUCGUCCCAUUAGCUUAAAAGCAAGAAUUUACUGAAUCCUACGUUGCCAAGUGUAUAGUCUCCAGGCUGUGCUUGCGGCAACCCAGUCAGGUCCACCGAAAUGCCAUAAUGCUUUUGCAUUGCGCAUCGCCUCGUCAAUCUCUAGCAAGUGGGGUUUGUCGUGUUGGGUAACCUAAACACAUUCUUCACACCCAACUUCUCUUCUUAAUUUCUUUCGCAGCUUCAGUUACGUGUAUAAUCAGUUAACUAAUUACUUUUGCCGCCCUUUGAACUGAAUAACGACAUAAAAGGUUGCUUCUGUCUCGUCGUCUAUGCAAACAAGUUCCCGUUCAGACCCUCUCUCCUUCCAUCGAAUAUGCUAGCGGUUCAAACUUCCCAACCUGAUGGUUGUUUGAUUUUGAAAUUUUAAAGGUGAUGAUGUAAAUCAUAUGAUGGUAAUGGUCGACAUAGUAUGUUGAUUCCGAAAAUAUGAUGGGGUUUCAAAAUGAUUUCGAAAUAAUUUUAUCGGCUCUAAAUGAUUCGGUAGUUGCUUCCAAUUUUUUUUGUUUUUCUUUUCGAAAUUGGACAAAAACUUCUGCCAAAACACAUGAUUUAAAUAAAAACAUGUCCAAAUCAUCUUUCAUAAAUCAUUACCAAACAAAAGAACAAAACCGCUCGUAUAUUUCAAUUCCCUUCUAUUUCAAGUCUCUUGUUAUUUUAAAUACCACCUACCAAAUCUCGAAAUCAAAAACCUGAACCAAUCAAUCUCCUUGGGGAAAUUAAAUCAAUAGGAAGUUAUGUAUAAUCAGUCUCCUAUACAACAAUGUCAGCUGCCGCCAGUAGCCAUAUGCCUCUCUCUCUACAUGAAUGUUCUCAAUUACGAAAGAAUUUCGAGUGUGUAACUAACUAACUAUGGAAUUUAAUAACAAGUCAUGUACGCAGUGUUGCCAGGUCAAGAGCUCUGAGAUGAGUCCACUUGAAUCCACAGCAUCUCAGCAUACGCCUUCUCUUCUUCCUUCUCCUCCUCCUCCAAUACACACGUACUUACCUCCUCCACAUCUUCCUCUUCUUCAUCAGGAACCUCCUCCUCCAUUUCUUCUUCCACGUUCCCCAACUCUUCUUCACCCACUCGUCUCGCUUCAUCAGCAAGCUUCGACAUAGCCUCUCUCAUAGCUCGACCUGUUGCUGGCCUGUCGGUUGGCCUAUAUUUCGGAGCUGGUGUAGCGAAUGGCAAAACGAUGUCAUCCAAGCUUCCCUUGUCCUCCUUCGAGUGGCCAUCUCGCUCCGAUGGAGGAAAGACGAAGACUAUCCCGAGUUCGUAGUUGCAAAUGUGAAGCUUCGAAGAAGAUGGGUUCGAGAUUGUUCGUCCCCAAGCCGCAGCGCUGAAAUUAUGCGACCCGCAAUACACCCACCCGAUUGAAGGUUCCCCCCUUGUUCCACUCCUGAAGCGUCUCCUUGCAACCUGCUCAUGGUUUUUAUAUUCUUCAGUUUUUAAAAUAACUUGUUAUAUUUGACCAGAGAGUUUGAAUUUUUCAAGGCAAUUUUGUUACCUUGACGUGCAUUGGGUGUCCGAUCCUCUCAGGAGGAUGCGGUACGGCAUCAUGAAGUAUGUUUGCAGUUUGCAACUUCUGCCAUGUUUUCUACAUUGGGCAAAUGAAAAGAUCAGAUUUUACUUGAAAUAGAUAUGAAGACAUUUUUUGGACUUGCGUAGUACUAAAUGGAAUCAGUACCUCCGAGAAGCAGAGAAUGCGUCUUGAUGAUACGACGCGGUCAUGUCCGGUUUUUACUCUGUCGAUCGUAGGGAAAAGUAUCUGCAUGGACGGAUUUCUCAAUUCUUGACUAGCACUCCAGCAGCCCCACUGUGAAGAUCACUCUUUAGUAAAUCCAUGAGCGUGUCAAAACUCUAGAUCAUUACUAUUACAAGAUAGUUUCUAUUGAUCAGCUUAUCCUUGUUACCUCAGGAUCAGAUUCUUCAGAAUCAACAACGUGCGAAGAUUUUUUUCCAGCGGCGACUGAAAAGGCAGAGAUAAAUUGUGCAUUGACUGAUGACCCGAUCGAAGAUGCACCUUCAGAACAAAAUUGUGUCAAACAAAGAGUCAAAGACGUUCAUUCCUUGAACUGUUAUCAAUUUAGAAGUAUGCAGAGACUCACCGUAAAUGAAAUCGGAUUGUUCUGACUCGGGCCAUUUGUAUUGACCUAACACCUAGUAGAUGACAAAAAGAAAACAUUUGCAGGAGCCAUAAAGACAAAGAUGUCUGCAGAAAUAGCUACAUAAGAAAAGGUAAUAUAAGAGAUCUAGAAUCUGUCAGCAUAAGCCACGGCCAUGUCGGAAAUGAGGAAUUUUUCUCACUAAAAUUGUCUAAAGCAUGCAACCAAAUUAACUUAUUCUCUAAGCAGAAAUUCUUUGGUGGGAUAGGAUAAUGUGGCUGCAGGGUCAUGAGUAAUGUAGGAUAAUUCAAGACCAUAAGCAUAAGUUUAGAGCUGAACACCAUACCUCCUCUAGACGCCAAAGGCCUGUACAACUCUGUAGUGAAGCAAUGAGAGAACUAAGAGCAACUACAUGUUCAAACUGCAGUAGCUUCAUCAUCUCUGAAAAUUGAGGUCCCUGCAUAAUUGAGAAUCAUCAGAUCUUACUCUCUCAUUCACCCAUACACGAAAACACAAGUUUUGGCAUAACCAAGCAUAUCCCAAGUACCAUACUUGUGUCACAUACAGACUCAGUUGCAAUCUAAUGCUGCUUCCUCCUAAAGCAGCAGCAAGGGCUUCUUUACGAGAAACAAAUCCUGAGAAAGAGAAGAAUCCACCAUCCCACAAUGGUGACACCCAUUUUGCAACACCUCUAGGCAGAAAACCAAGUUGAAUGCAAUCUAGCACAAGAGGAAAAGGGAGAAAGGCUAAUCAGUAUGUCUACCAAAAACGUAAAAUAACAAAGUACCCCAAUAUCCACAGGCAUGACAAAAUAUACAUAAGUUAUUUAACUAAAGGAAUGACACAUCCAGAACAAACAAUAGGAUAGAAACCUCAGCAGAGAUAAAGUAUCAACGGAAAUAGGAAAUUACCUCCUUCAGAUGUUUGAUCAGGAUUAGAAACAAGAACACUGACAGCAUUUCCAUCUGCCACCACACUCGUGUUUCUUCUCAAAACAACCUUAGACAUCCCAUCUGCAUUUUCAUAAGUUCGACUAAGAAAAGCAGCUAAUCUCUUCAGCUGGAUGCCUUUGACGUCUGACCUAGCAUGGAAAAGAUGACUUAAACCAACUACAGAAGCUUCAGCCCACCCUAAAGAACCCAUAACAGGUGAGACCAGGUUACACCGAGAAGUCUGUGACGAAGGUAGGAAAGCGAAUAUAUAAGUACACACUUAGUUGUCAAUAAAGGAAAAAGUGCCAAGUUUGAUCUCUUUGAACAGAAAAAAUCAUGUGUUAACAAUUCUAUUAUCCAAACAAAAUAGUUCCAGACAUAACGAUAACCAGCUUUUGGCAAAGCAAGCACUGAUAAGAGGUGAAGGUACUUACAUUCUGUGCCUUGUAAGAGUGAAUUCCAGGUAUUGAAGCCACUAUACGUCCUACUGCCCCUUCAAAGUUGUAUCUUGUCAGCUCGGCAAUCCAAUGUGCUUGACUAGGAACAUCAAUAACAAGAGACGCCAUAAAUCUGGCCAGCUCAGCAGCAAAGUCUGAAGACAAUUGAUUUGAUUCUCCGACGGACAUUCGUCUAAAAAGAUACGAGGCAUCAGGUGCGCUUCUGGCAGGAAAGUCUUGCCACCAAACAGUGUUGGUUACAUUAUUCCACUGUUACAGUAAGACGAACUGGUGAUUAUACUGUUUCACUUCCGCCAAAUGCAUCUUACUUUAGAGUUAUAAGAAAUUUGGACAUCCCCGAUAUCUCCGUCCUUUAGAUAUUCACCUGGUUAGCAUUUAGAUUCGCUGAAGUAAUGAUAACACGAAGGCUAUCAUCUCUUUGCAAAACAAUCAGUUUUGGAUGAUGGCAACCGAUGCCUUUGCUCUUUAGGUCUUUACCAAAUGCUAUAUCUUCGGGAAAUGGAGGAAACCUAUUAAAAAUUUCAAACCAGAUUCCAGAAGUUUAACAGAGUUACCUUGGAAACUUCAAAAAAGAUAUUAAGCCCACUUAUGUUCUCAAAUGUUUACCGGAUGACGGAAGUUAAAUCUGUCACUUACACUAAUUCUACAUUUGGAUACUCUGGGUAAGGCAUUGAGGAUCUUUUCUCAGGGCUGGAGCUCCAACAUCUUUCUGUGUCAUGACAUGCAAUUGUCACUGGAAGUUGGUAUGGAAUUCCACACGACUUUAAGAACCUGCAUGUCCACAACAAAAUAGAUCACUAGCACCAUGAUCACCAUCAUUAACAAUAAAUCCUUACAUCUGCAGAAAAUAUCCCCAUUAUUAAGAACAAAUAACCAGACUAAUUUUGCCUCUCUGUAACAGUUGACUAGUCGAAGCCUUGCUUUUCUGUGUCUUAAACUCCAAACUCCAAAGGAUGCAAAUGAAUACCAGGAAAGCUAAAAUAUAAUUGCAAAAGUAGGAAACAGAGAUUGGUGUAUUUACCAUAGGAUAUCACUUGUGAACGUAGCAAUAAAUAUUCUCAGAAUGUUGUUAACAGGAUAGAGAAGUUCUGACAUAGAGACCGUGUUGUGAUGUGUAGAUGAAGGAUGGUUCAUACGCUCAAGACGGUUAAGAAAGAAUUUCUUCCCAGGGGGAGAACUUUGAUCUUCUGAAGUUUCCACAGGGACAACAGGCUGGACCAAGCUAUUACUGUCCUCAUUAACAGUACACGGCGAAGGAACACCACAAGUAGCAUUCACGGUAAUGGUCUGGAAAGGUCUUGUCAUACCAUCUAUUUCGUGCAUUUCGUCAUCUCUAACACUGACACAUUGCACGCUCUCCUUUCUUUCACUAAGUUGCUUACUCUCAUGAGCAGACGGAGGCUCCAGGAAAUGUUGCUCGCCACUGUGAUCUUCAGUCCCACCUAUCGUAACAUCCAAAUUCGCGCCACGUAGGUUCAUAGAUUGUGGGGAGCUCGAUCCAUUCUUACCACACCAUGGAGAAUUCAUCUCCAUCUCCGGUAAAACAAGUUUCCUAAUAUAAGCCAUUGGGUCAUCACUGUGCAAUAUACGCAUACAUUUGGUCAACAAAGACUUUGCUCUUCUUGCAAUACCGCCAUAUGUCAAUGUCAAAGAAGCUUUGGGUGGAGACACUAUCUCAUCUUGACAAAAAGCAAAGACCCUUUUGUUUCUCCUCCCACUUGACAAUGAACUUUGAGAGUGCCCCAUUGAAUCAGUCUUCUCAACUAACCUCCUGGACCUCCCAAAAGGAACCCCACCCACUCCCACUACAACUUCCUCAGUCAACACAACGCCCUCAAUCAUGAACCCAACUCGUUUACUGAACCUACAUACAUCUUCAUUUCCACAAACAAAAAACACCUGAUCACCUGCGCAGAGCUCUCUAACCACACCUGCCCCAACCCUAACACCAUUAAGAAACAAUCCAUUAAGAGAAUUCUGUAUCCCAUAACAGUCUUCUCUCAACUGAUCAGAACAGUGCAGUCUCCUCCUAAACUCGCUAACAGAAGAUUGAGCAUUCGGAAACAGAAACGAGCCAUCGAGAACAUAAACCUUACGAUGAAGACCGUCGAACAUAAGCUGGCAGUGUCGCUUGCUGACACGGGAAUCGUGGAGGAGGAAGUUGCAGUGGCCGGACGCUCGACCGAAGGUGUAAGGCCGGUCGGCUAAGAGACGGAUUGAAGUGAGAAUCGAACCGGUGGCGGCGGAAGUCAGAGGGACGUCAAAACUUCGGAGAUGGAGCAGUGCUGAUUUGCGGAUUUGCUUCUGCCUCUUCCUCGGAGGUGAAACUGAGAGCCGGAAUAGAACAUUCUCCUCCGCCCCCUCCACACCAUCGAUUCCUCUGUCGCUACUGGUGAGAGCUAAGCCGCCCAUAGCAGAAGAAUUGGACGGAGAACUUCGGUGUCAAAGGAAAAAGGGAAUUUGGGCGGGGUUCGUUUUCCAAGUUCCCCUCCUAUUUUCCCAUUGGAGACGUGACGAUGCAUCGUCACUUGGAUGAGCGAAUGGGCGCCUAAAGAAGCUUAUUUGAGAAGCUAUGGUAAACUGUAAUUUUAGUCAUGAUUUAAGUUCUAGCUUUCUACCAAUCACUACAUUAUUUUCAUACUACAUCUUAACGGAAAAAUGUCUUUUCUGUUUACAUAUUCAUAUCGGUGCUAUUUGCCUCCCAAGUGCAUGUCAUCUUCGGAGCCAUACUAAUCUUCUCUAUAUCGUUCCAAUUUUACCGAGCGUCCAAAUGAGUGAUCUGAAUAAUGUAACCUUUAUUGUUGAUGAUAAAAUUUCUUCAAGAAGCAUGAUGCAAAAAGUAAAUAUGAAAAUGGUAUUAUUGACCCUUGUACAUUGUGAAAGUAACGUUGGGUCUCCUUUACUAUUAAAUUGUCGAUUUACAAACUGUCAAUUUACCAACAAACUUCUUCUGUUAAGUUCUCCGUUAGUCUCCCGGUAAAAUGUAACAGAUCAGUAUGUCAUGUCAGCCUCUAUCGCCACAUCAAUCGAUGCUCACAAAGGUAAUUAUUUCAAAUUCGCAAAACUAUAUUUCCUUAUUCUUAUAACAAAUCAACAACAGGAACAUGCAACCAGAGAGCACGGAAGUCAGAACCACAGAGCAACGCAGAACCAUCUCUUCACCGUCUGUGGAUUCCUUCCUGGUCACAGACACUGCUGGAUUUUACUCCCAACUUCCAUGGGCCUGAGAUGUUUGUGGACUUCCCAUUCUUUUGAAGAUCCUCACCAGGUCCAGCAAGAUUGGGCCUCAAGAUGCGCUGGCUUGGAUUCGCAGCUUUACGAAUUUGGUAUGAAUUAAAUGUUCAGGGUUGGGGAAGCUUGAACCGGCUUAAUAGCUUCAAAGAUGAUGCAUUCAGAGAGCUACAUAAAAUCUGACAUCACAGCCUCGUAGCAGAUCCAGGGAAGACCGCAAGUAAACAGUAGAAGCAUAUACUCACCAAUGUAGGAAGAUGAUCAAAGAGAACAAUUUGAACCCUGCAGAUCAAAACCAUCACAGCCCACCAGCAGCACAAACUCUAAAUCAUUUCCUGCAGUCGGAAUCACCACACAAUCCACUCCUCAUGCCUAGACAUCCAGAAUACAAAGAAUACAAAUUCUGCUUGAUACACUCCAGUUACCAGAUCAAAGUAAACCUUCAUUUUUAUUCAUAAGAACAAUGGUUAAGAGUGAUAUUAGAAUUUGAACGCGAAUCAGGUUGUGGAGGUUUAGUGUUUCCUAUGCAGUUGGCAAGACAAGUAAGAGUAUAAGACUGCUGCAGGUAACAAAGUUAACUGGUUUUUUCCAGCAAGUUCCAGUUCCAGUAGUCCUAGAUCGAUCAAAAAACUUAUUGACUGAAUCAUCCCUCAAACAAACAGAAUAUAAACAAAAACACGAUCAUGGUCAAGGCUAUAAAUUAAGCGGUAGUUUGGAUUAGGGAAUUGAGCAUGGGAAUUGGACUUGAAAAAUUAGAGCUCAAUUCCUAUCCCUUAUGGACACUGAACCCCAAUUCACUAAUCCAAACUACCCUUAAAACUUGCAACUGUAGAAAGAAUGAACCUGCCUGUUAUCGAGACACGCUUUUUUGUCUAAAAUCCUUCAACAAAGUGCGAUAACCAAUCCUUCUUAAUCCAUUUUGCAUAUAAUUAUUGAGUGGAAUAGACACAUAGAAGUACCGUAGACUAGUUCAGAUGUAAGUUCAGAAGGGUAUAUGAGUAAUGAAAGAAAAGGCAGAAAGAAGACCCUUUGCUUGCUCAACCUGCAACAGCAGUUACUGGUGAAAUAUCAAGUUAUCAACAGUAAUAAUAACACAUUCCACCAUGAUAAAAUCAUAUGGUUUGGCACCACUUUAUACUCAAAAUGACUUCAAAUCUCGAUGAAACAAAUAUCCUUCAAAAGUUUCAUCAUACACAAGAAAACGAGAGAGAAAAUCAUCAAAAGCACUACUCAAUUCAUAACAAUACCGAAUAGCAAAAGGGUUUUUAAGUUCAGCAUCGCUGACUCCAUAAAGUACAUCGAUCUAAGCGUUCAAAGUCACGAGAUUGUUCUUCAAAGAUUUAAAAGCAACUACCCCAACUAAAUAUACAGUACGUUUAAAUGUGAGCCAGCAGCAUAGGGUACAAAACAACGCAAGAGAAAAAAUAAACUUGAUUUGACUGUUUUUUAAAGAUCUGGCAUUUCUAGUAGCAAAGAGUAACAUUUGACCACUUUUAUAAACUUCAUUUGCAUAAGCUCCAUAAACUUCAGAAGAAUCAGCAGGCCAGUAUCUAAAACACUGAGGCACCUAUAAGGAUCUGCAAAAUCAAUAAGAGCGCAUGAAAAUCAUUUGUACCAAGGAAAUAGUUUCAGCCACAGAUCCUUGCAGAAAUUGGUUCAAGAAUAUUGACAUCAUCAAUUAAGAAUCGAAGCAACCUGGUAAAAGUGUCUAAUUGUCCUUUAUUAAAUAAUUGAGAACUUAAAACUGUAUGUCAGUGACUCCACCGAAAACUGAUCAAGAAAAUUAGUAUUAUAAAUGAAGAAAUGAAAACCAAUUUAAAAGCAGCCCAAUUAGCUUUCAUAAUAGACCUUGGAUUUUGGCAACAAACAAACACGUUAGAAACUCAAUGAAAUAUAACAGCGAAAAUAGUAUUUUUCACGCAGACUGCUGAACUAACAAUUAUAACAAGGUCUUAUGAUCAAUUUGUGAGAAUACAACAGGGUUAGUAUCUAUUCAUGUCUACGUCUAGAGAUCAUACCAAGUUUAUCAUAAAUCAUAAAUAAAGUUCAACUGCUGUCGUUAAUGAAUUUACACGGUUAACAAUUGAACAAUUCAAAAUUCAAAUGUAGUUCAACGCAUUUUUCAUACCUGAAAAGGCAAGGAGGCAGCCUAGUGGCCCAUGUAAGGGCCUAAACCACCAUACUGUCCGCGUUUUCCUCUGCUGUUAGAGCUUGUCCAAGAGGGUUAAUUGCUUGUGCCGCAGCAGCUCCCUGGUUAAAUCCCAUUCCAGCUCCACUUGCGGGGCCCAUUAGGUGGCUAGGAGCUGCAGCGGCAUAUGGAGUGUUGCUAUCAUUCCUCGGAUAAUGAGAGGCCUGAGCAUGAUGGUGUUGCUGCCUCUGUUGCGGAGCUUUUCCAGGUUUCGGACCGUCAAUGGCUUUCUGGCAGUGUAAAAUAUGACCAUCGAAGUUCUUAUGCGGCUCUUCAAGAGCCCUCUUAGCACUUUCAGGGCUCCUGUAGACAAACAAACAGAAACCUUUCGGCUUUCCGGUGUUCUUAUCCAGCCCAAGUGGCCCUUCCUCAAUCUCUCCAAACUUUGCAAAGAAGCUAGUCAACUUUUGGGGAUCCAAAUCUGAACCGACGUUACUCACGUAGAUCUUCCUCUGAGUGUAUUCUGACUGCGGUGUAACGGGAGCUGCUGCUUGAGGUGGCGUUUGAACAGGGCCAAUAGAAGCAAGCUGACAAGCAGUCAUGCGGCUGCCUAUCUUCUUCUGUGGCUCCCUAAGCGCCUUCCUGGCUCCACUUCGCCUCUUGAACAGAAUGAAACCGUAACCCUUGGAUUUUCCAGACACCUUGUCGGUCACGGCCUUGCAAUCCUCGAUCUCUCCAUACUGCUUGAACGCGCUAACCAGCGUCUCCGCGGUGGUGUCCCAACCCAGGCCAUGGACGAAGAUCUUCCGAUGAACGGGAUCCUCGUCAGCUAUCCUACGGAUGCGAUCGGCCACGUCUCGAUGGACCUCAGCGGCCUCGCGUAGCAAAUUAACGAGCUGAUCUUUGCUAAACGGCUCCAGAAGUUUAUCUAUCGGCUCCUCAUCGUCGUCAUCGGGAACCGACGCGGGUGCGGCAGAAGAAGAAACAAUCUGCUUAUUUCCUCCGUUGUUCAGAUCUUCUUUACUGCCGUCCUCCUCCUCUUCCUCUUCCUCCUCCUCCUCCUCUACUUCUUCCUCCACUUCCUCUUCCUCUACAUCCUCCUCAACCUCUUCGAUUACCUCCUCUUCCUGUUUGAUCUUCUUCGCCUCUUCUUCUUCCAGCUGCUUCUGAUGUUGCAAUUGUUGCUGCUCCAGCUGCUGUUUCUUCGACGGUCCUGACGAUUCAGCGCCUGUAGCAGGAACAACCUUUCGCUUCCUCGCCAUCGCAAGCAAAGAAUCAGUGAAGACUGGAUGAAAGAGCGGCGGAGAAGCGACGUAGGGAAGAGAACAAAGUCGGUGAUUAGGGUAUGGGGUUUCAGAUAUUUUAGUUUUCGAGCGGGUGGUGUUCGAUCAAUGCUUAGUCUCCGUUUGUACGACGGAUAUGGAAAAAGAAUAACUUCGUUUUGGGCCUACAAUAAUAGGCCUAAAAUUGUGCCUGACUGAAGGCCUGCUGUGAAAGCCCAACAAGUAGGUGUAUUUCAGCACCAGCCCGCUAAUUCUUCUUCGUCUAAACCAACCUUGUUGAUCAAUACUCAAAAGAGUAAAAUUCCAUUUGACUAUAUAUGAACUAAAUAAAUAAAUACAACAAGUUAGUCACAAAAAUAAAUACAACAAUCAGUAACAACAUGUAAAACGAAACAUGUUAGCUUGCAAGUUUUUUUUUUCGAGCGCCGCUAGGGUUUAUCUCCACACCACCCGUCACUACCUAUAACAGCAUCACAAUCUCGCAUCUCUAUCCUCUAAUCCUUCCUUCAUCAUUUGAAAUCCCAAACAGCCAAUCCCCCAACAUACAAAACGUUGAUACCACCAACACUACCCAAUCCAUUGAGCUCGUCGAGCUUAUAACUAGCCCUCUAACACAGCUCAUACACUCUAUCACCACCACCAUCAUCUCUGCACCCCCAACCUCAACCUUAACUAAUACCACACCGCCCACCACCGACGAGUUCGAAGAGCAAGUCGCUGUCCUGAGUUUAGAUGAAUCAACGCCGCCGGCAAUGGCUCUCGCCGAGCUAGUCAAGGAACCGCCGACAUAGGAAUACCACCUAUGCAUGGUCGGCUCCUUCCUCACCAAAAAGGAGAUGAACAUCAACGCCGUUCGUCGCACGAUGCUGGUAGCAAUCGAGACGAGGGGUGGAGAUCGACGCCUUGGAGAGAGGUAUGUUCCUCUUCCGCUUCAACCACUUCAUUGAUGUACCCCACGUGAUCGACGGUGGCCCAUGGAGCAUGGAUGGCAUGCUGCUGCUCACACAUGAGCUCUGCCAUUGGGAGAUUCCGCAACAGGCCCUGCUCAAGAUGGUGGCGUUCUGGGUGCAGGUUCAUAACCUACCAUUUGGCUACUUCUCCGAGACAGCUGGGGAGGCAAUGGGGAACUACAUUGGCCGCUAUAUGGAUUAUGAUGAGAAGAACAGCAUCUACCAACCUAAAGCAUACAUCUGCAUCCUAGUUCUGAUAGAUGCUCGAGUUCCAUUGAAGAAGGAGCGUGUGGUUACCUUGCACGACAAACACGAGAUAACCUGUCAGUUCAGGCAUGAAAGGAUCAAGAACUUCUAAUAUAUUUGCGAAUAACGGGCCAUGUUGAGAAGAAAUGCGACCUACGAUUCGGUUACCCAGCUGACCAUUUAGUUCAGCGUUGGGAAGACUCUAUCAGGACGGAAUCCCGUUGGGAAGCGAAGACGAGGGGCGACGAAUCCUUGGCUGAUAGUUUGGGAAGACACAACUCUAAUUGGUAGAGGAUCCCGAUUUCGGGGCCAAGGACGUGAGGGGAAUGGGUAGAGUAACCCUUUCCGACAAACGUACGGGAGCUUGAUGUCUGCAUGGGAGCAAAUAACUGGGACAAGGACAACCAGAUCACACUCCUUACACCAGACGACCCUAAAGGUGACAGUCUCCUCAUUGAUGAUAAGAAGAGACGUAGGAACGACGCAGCGGUGGAUGACCCAAUGGAUGUCGAAUCUUUUGGUGGCCAAAAACCAUCGAAGAAACUAGGAGAAGCGCGGUAGCGAGCAAGAGCGACCGAGCUACAACUCAGUCCUGGUCGAACCGGAUAAAACAAGGCCUCAAUAUCGCUAAGAUCCUAUCCCCUCUUAGCGGAUGCAAUAAGGAUUUCAUAUCCAAGCUUUAUAGGUUUUUUGUGUCUUUUUCAACUAGAACUCAGUUUUUCUCUCUUUUAUUUCGUUUGAACAUUAGUUUGUAGUCUUUUUUUGGUUUGCUUUAAUAGCCUAGUCAACUCGGAUCGAAAAGAUUUCAUCUCAAAUCACCCGUUCAGUACAUAAAAAAGAGAAGAGAUUUGAGGAGAUUUGAAAUCACCUUGAGGGGCUUGAGAGAAUUUCAUGGGAAUCUCAAAUCAUCUAGGAGAGGUAGAAAUUUUGGAGGAGAGGAGAGAUUUGAGAAUUUUAACCAAAAUUACCUCUUAUUCCAUUGGUAAUUGAUAUGAUCAUAAAUAAACUGAAAGCAUUUUUGUAUUUUUUUUAUUGUUGUUUUACUUUUCUCUCUCUACAAUAAUUGAAUUCAAAAUCAUCCACAAAUCACUAAUUCAGACGGUCUAUUUCGAAAUUAGUAAGCUUCACUCAAAUCUUUUAUUUCAAAUCUCUAGCUAUUUUAAAUCUCUUCUAUUUCACAUCUCUAGCUAUUUCAAAUAUCUUCCAUUUCACAUCUCUAGCUAUUUCAAAUUUUUUUUAUUUCAAAUCACCUAUCCAAACGACUUGGUAAAAAAAAUAAGUUACAAUUGAAUGCUUUUUUGAUUAAAUUAGAUGAAUAGUUGAUAAAAAAGUUUUUGUUUAACGAAACUCACUUUCCAUUACUUCGAAAAUCACAAUACAUCAUGGGGAUUACACCAAGGUUGAAAACCAUAUGGGCAAAAGGCUGUCGUUCCUUGUUGCUUUGACAGCAAAAUUAGCCUGAGAGUUGGAGCUGCGAGAGACGUACUGAAAGGGAGAUAAGUGGCCUUGAGUGUCGUAUACUUUCAAUGGACCCUAGUAGUCCGUAACAUUCCCACGACCAUCGGUGCUUGGGCUCGUUGAUUGCCUGAACCACUGUGAGGCAAUAAGAAGGAUGAUGCUGAAAGUGGAGAGCGUAGAGGCUAUCUUAGCAGCCUCCAGGGCAGCUCUUGCUUCUAAAGCCAAUGUUGACGAGUAGAAGAAGAUCCCCGCCCUCCCAUCGAUUACUUUCCCUAAUGGAUCAUGAACGAUCACACCAUAGCCCGCCCUUUGGGAGUGGCAUUGAAAUGACCUAUCACAGUGGAUCUCCGUGAUGGAUGUUUGUGGUGUGGGGUCGUUGAGGAAGGGUUGUGUGUGGGUUGUAUGUAGGGGGUUGGUAGUCUAGUCAUGAAGGUCCUUCUCGAUGAGGGUGGUGGUGAAGGUAGGAGAAGGGGGUCCUUCAAUUGAAGACAUCAUUGCGCGCUUUCCAUAUUACCCAGCAAAUGGGGACCCAAGUUGAGGUCAUAUGACGCUAGGCCUUUGCCACAUGGCCACAAAAAAUACACAGUGAAGAAAAGUUUUUUCCCCUACGGUGCAUAUGGGCACGAACUAGAUCGGCUACAUCCACGCCAGUAGAGGUUGGCGGUGAGAGAAAAAAUGUUAUUGCAGCACCUCCAUAGGAAGAAGACCACCCUCGAUGAAAAAGUUGAGCAUCUAAAGCCAUUUCCACAAAUUGGGGGUCGUAGAAUCCCACGGAGACGAGAUUGGAGCAAACUCUCGAGUUGCGUGGUAGGUUGAUCGGACCGUGAAGCGUCUAAUUAAUUUCAACUGCAUGAUCCUCGAAUGACAAUAAAAAGAGAUAAUAUGUAAAUUCCGAGAGCGUUGAUCCUCAUGGAUCCAAUCCGCACCCGUUCGGAACGGAUAAAAAGUUGACAAGCUAGUAAUACAAGAACCCGUGAAUAGUGAAAAUAUCUGAGCCAUGUGUACAAAAUGCGAUGUUGAAUGAUUGAAUCACCAAAUCAUAAGAGUCCGCGUUAUUAGCCGUUCUUUUCUAGAAGUCUUUUUUAACUCCGCCAAGCCAAGAGGGCCUUUUAAUUAAAUUAUUAUCAGCUUUGUCUUUUAAAUUAAACGGAUUCAUUCAACGACCUACUGUGAUUAAAUUCCAUAAUCCCGUUGACUGUUGUCACCCGCUUUCUCUUUACCCGCCACUCACUCCCCCUCUCUAUAUUUAUAAACCAGAACAUCCAUGGCUGCCUCGCAUCCUAGAUAAGCUACGCUAAAAAAAAAAUCAAACAAAGAAAGAAAUAUCUCAUCAUACUCUGACAAGCCACUUCAAACUUCUCUGACACUGGGGUUCUUCCUUUCUCUCCCUGGAUCUCCCGAGAAAUCUUACUUUUCUUCCCCUUCUUCUCAUCCCCUGAAACUUGGCCUUCGAUAUUAAAGGAAACCGAGUAAUCUGCUUCCAGAAUCUAUUCUGAGAAGGAUUCAGAAGAUACCAUCCAAGAUCCAAAGUUAUGAGUAGAGUCGACGACCACCACCGUCUCUCAUCGGAGACAGAGCUCGUCGGAGUGGACAGAGUCCUCCCUAACAGCGGCCAGUUAAGCGGACCUCUCAACAAGCGCGGCGGCGCCGGAGGAAGGAAGACCAAGAGCGCCAGGUUCAACAUACCGGAGACCACCUCCGCCUCCGCCUCCACUUCCUCUGACAACCAUGACCAGCAACAGUACGUCGAGAUCACUCUCGACCUCAGGGACGACUCCGUCGCCCUCCACAGCGUCAAAGCUGCUAACGGCGCCGACGAGGAUCCGGAGAUGACACUCCUCGCCAAGGACCUGGAGAAGCGGACGGCUUCCAACAUAGGCUCCUCCGUCGUCAGAACUGCCUCGGCUAAGAUCCGUCAAGUUUCUCAAGAGCUCAGGCGGCUCGCCUCCGUCAACCGAAGACCGACGGGGAGACUUGACCGUACGAAGUCGGCGGCGGCUCCUGCUCUGAAAGGUCUCAAGUUCAUCAGCAAGGCCGACGGCGGCUCCGGAUGGGUUGCCGUGGAGAAGAGGUUCGACCAGAUCACUGCUGAUUCCCCGGACGGGAUGCUUCCCCGUGCUCGCUUCGGCGAAUGUAUAGGUGUGUAUGCAGGCCAACUAUAUGAGAAUUUGCCUCGGAGAGGGGAGAUGGUUUCUGAAUUCUGAAAGCUUUUUUUGGUAUGUGAUGAUUGGCAGGGAUGAAGGAGUCCAAGGAAUUUGCGUUGGAGCUGUAUGAUGCUCUGGCGAGGAAGAGAAACAUUCAGAGGGAUUCAGUCAGCAAGUUUGAGCUAAAGGACUUCUGGGAUCAGAUCUCUGAUCAGAGCUUUGAUUCUAGGCUCCAGACUUUCUUUGACAUGGUUGAUAAAGAUGCUGAUGGCAGAAUUACUGAAGAGGAAGUCAAGGAGGUAUGAUUUUAUAACCCAACCAUAAGAGUUUGAAGAUUUCAUUUCUUUUGUUAAUAAUCACUCAAAAGUAAUGAAUAUUUUGUUUGCAGAUCAUCACCCUCAGUGCUUCUGCAAACAGACUCUCGAAUAUCCAGAAACAAGCAGAGGAGUAUGCAGCUCUGAUCAUGGAAGAAUUGGACCCAGAGCACCAUGGAUACAUCAUGGUAAAAAGCUUGAUUUGACAACAAGAAUCAUGAUUUCUAAGAAAGUCAAGUUAAGAUUAAUGAACAAAAUUGAAUUGAGGUUGUUAAAAGGUUGUGAAAUGAAUAUUAAAUUAAGAAAUGUAAAGAAUUUUUAAGAAAGUUGGAAUUCUUCUAUCCCUUCAUCCAAAUUUUCUUUUACAAUCUCACCCAAUUCUAAUUCAACUUUCUUACACUAAUUUCAACUCAAUUUUCAAGAUUUUUGUUGCCAAAUAUACUGUGUUUGUAAUUUACCCUUUUUGUCCUUAUGCAAACAGAUAGAGAACCUAGAAAUGCUACUGCUGCAAGGACCAAACCAGUCAGUGAGAGCAGGAGAGAGCAAGAACUUGAGCAAGCUGCUGAGCCAGAAGCUGAAGCCGACGCUGGAUGAGAAUCCAAUAAGUAGAUGGCUAAGGAGCACAAAGUACUUCUUGUUGGACAAUUGGCAGAGAGUUUGGGUGAUGGCUUUGUGGAUGGGAGUUAUGGCUGGUCUGUUUGCUUACAAGUAUAUCCAGUACCGUGACAGGUCUGCAUAUGAGGUCAUGGGGGUAUGUGUAUGCUUGGCCAAAGGUGGAGCCGAGACUCUGAAACUAAACAUGGCUUUGAUUUUGCUCCCCGUUUGCCGGAACACCAUCACCUGGCUCCGCAACAAGACCAAACUAGGCGUUGCUGUUCCUUUCGACGACAACCUUAACUUCCACAAGGUGAUAAUCAAAAAAAUGUGCUUAUGUUUUUCUCUUAUUUGCAAUUAGGGCUGUUGAGCCAAGCCGCCUGCAAGUAGCUUGGCAUUCUGUUCGAAAAAAGUUCGUUGGUGACUCAGCUCGAUGACUUGUAAGCAUCCACAUAUGGCCAAGUUGGAGUUAGGGUAUGUUCAACUCGAUUGCCUCAAGCUCGAGUUCGAGCUGUAAUUGGACUCGUCGGGAGGGUUCUAAUGAGCGAAAUUUGAGUUAAACUCGAGUUUGGCUCGUCUAUGUUAGUUAACGAGCCAGACUUCAAUAGGCUCGAGCUUUAGAAUAGUGAAGUUUUUGGCUCGCUCGGUUCUUAAGCAGCCCUAUUUACUACCCUAGCCUUAGUGACUGACAUUUCUACCGUCUAUUUUUCAAAGGUGAUAGCAGUGGCGAUAACAAUAGGAGUAGGGAUCCACGCCAUAGCCCAUCUGGCAUGCGACUUCCCUCGCCUUCUCGCCGCGGAUGAAGAGAAAUGGGAACUUAUGCAGCCGUUCUUCGGAGACCAACCUUCGAGCUACUGGCAUUUUGUCAAGUCGAAAGAAGGGGUGACUGGGAUUAUUAUGGUCAUUCUCAUGGCAAUAGCCUUCACACUUGCCACUCCUUGGUUCAGGCGCAACAAGCUCAACUUGCCACCUUUCCUGAAGAAGCUCACCGGUUUCAACGCCUUCUGGUACUCCCACCAUUUGUUCGUCAUCGUCUACACUUUGCUUGUUGUUCACGGUUACUACCUGUACCUUACCAAGGAGUGGUACAAGAAGACUGUAAGUUGAUCCCUUUUGCCCCUCCCCCCCACCCUUGCCUUGCGAUUUUGUGAUCAAACCUGACUGGUUUUCUUUCGUUAUGUGCUUAUGUUGGAAUGCAGACAUGGAUGUACUUGGCAGUUCCAGUAGUGCUUUACGCCAGUGAGAGAUUGACAAGGGCACUGAGAUCCAGCAUCAAGGCUGUUACAAUCAAGAAGGUAAUAGUAUAAUUUAUGUUUAUGUACAAACUCGUAGAGAAAAGAUAUGGCUUUCUGAGACAUGAUGAAUGAUGAUCAGGUGGCCAUUUAUCCUGGAAAUGUGUUGGCACUUCACAUGUCAAAGCCUAAUGGGUUCAGAUACAAGAGCGGGCAGUACAUGUUUGUGAAUUGUGCUGCUGUGUCUCCAUUUGAAUGGCACCCGUUCUCCAUAACUUCAGCUCCUGGAGACGAUUACUUGAGUGUUCAUAUUAGAACACUUGGAGAUUGGACAAGGCAGCUCAGAACUGUCUUCCAGGAGGUACAAAAAAGAUUACUCUUCCUGCUCUGUUUCUGUUCUAACUGUAUCCAAGUAAUAUGUUGAUGAUAAUCAAGAUGGCAUUUCCAAAUGGUUUUGUCUUGGUAUAGGUGUGUCAACCACCAACCACAGGGAAGAGUGGACUCCUCAGGGCCGAUGAAUUUCAGGGGAAUAACAAUCCCGAGUAAGUACACUUGUUGAUGAUGUAAUAAACAAUGAGGAAAGCUAGAAACCGAAAACUAACAUGCGUACUACUGAUCUCAUUGUUAGUUGGCAUAUCGAAAGUUAAAGUACAUGAGAUUAUAAGCCUUACAAAAAAGCUGUCGUCCUUUCUAGGUAUAAUGGUAAACAGCCUUUAGGCGAUCUAAUAGUUUGUUUGAGUAUUAUAAACCCUUUUCCAAUUUUCUAAUUAGAAAGUUUAUCAACUAGUCCCAUGACCACCAUGUUCAGCAGCCAACAAGAGUGGCUGCUGAUGAAAAAGUAAAGUAAUGGCCAAUGGGAUAUAAUUAUUAUGCAGAAUAGCAGACCCUAGACCCCACCCCCACCAAACAUGAGAAGCGAGUGUCGUUUGUUAGCUGAUUAUGUUUGAAUAAUGACAAAAUAUUUGAUAAGACCAGUUGACGAUAAGUGAAUUUGAUGUUUAUUAAGGGAUUGUUUGGAUCACGGAUUUUACAUGUGUGGUAUUUUAAAAUAAAAUGAUACGUUAUUUAAAAAUAUGAUAUUUAUUAUUUAUAAGGUAUAAAGAUUUAGAUAUGAAAAUUAUUUUAUUUAGUUAAUGUGUUAAUUUAAUUUAAUAUUUUGAGGGCAAAUUAGUUGAAAUACCACAAUCUAAAAAUUCUACAACCUUUUUUGAGAUGUCAAACAAGUUUAUUUUGACUUAAAUAACUUAUAAUGAAUGUCAAGCUUAUUUGGGUAAAAACAUCUUAUCCAAACAGACUCCUAUGAUUGGGAAACUGAUGAUGGUUGGUGGUAAUUGUGAAUGGCAGCUUCCCAAGGAUAUUGAUAGACGGACCCUACGGAGCACCAGCGCAGGACUAUAAGGAAUACGAGGUGGUACUGCUGGUGGGUCUGGGGAUCGGAGCAACUCCGAUGAUCAGCAUCCUCAAGGACAUUGUGAACAACAUGAAAGACGAGGAAGAAGGGAUGAAUAAUAACAACAAUGGGUUGGAGAACGGAGGGAGGUCCCCAAGGAGGCAGUCUCCGAUCAGCCACCACAAUAAUAAUAAUAAUAAUAAUAAUAAUAAUAAUAAUAAUAAUAAAUCGAGCAGCAAGAGGAAGGACGCGUUCAACACGAGGAGGGCCUAUUUCUAUUGGGUCACAAGGGAACAGGGCUCAUUCGACUGGUUCAAAGGUGUGAUGAAUGAGGUUGCCGAGGUGGACCGGAACCAUGUGAUCGAGCUCCAUAACUACUGUACCAGCGUCUACGAAGAAGGUGAUGCCCGUUCUGCACUCAUCGCCAUGCUCCAGUCCCUUCAUCACGCCAAGAAUGGCCUAGACAUUGUAUCCGGAACGCGUGUCAAGUCCCACUUUGCCAAGCCUAAUUGGCGUACAGUGUUCAAGCAAGUCGCUGUUCACCACCCUAAUUCUCGAGUUGGUACGUAUAUACACUGUCGUUCCCUCUUUAAUAUCUUCGUUAGAUGUCAUGAAUUACAUUCUCGAGUUGGUAUGUUGUCAUGAAUUAUAAAUCUGUAGAUUAGGUGAUAUAUGUAAUUUGUGUGCCGUAAAACUUAAUUCUAAAUAUCUCUCUCAAUAAUUCAGGUUAUUGUGAUAAAGCGUUUUUUACAUGAUAUUAGAGCCCAAAAAAAUGAAAAAAUCUCCGUUUUGUAUUUCGGUAACCUCAAUUAGUGCACAUGACUUACUAAAGUUGUGCAAACAUCGACUCAAAUCAAUUUGAGGAGAUAUAUAUUAAAAAAAAAAAUUUAAACUCUUUCCCUUAGAUGAUUGUUCUUAAUUUCUUUAAAUCUUGUAGUUUUGAAUAAACACAUUUUGUUUGAAACUGAUGUGGGGGGUUGUUGUUUUAUUUGGCAGGUGUGUUUUAUUGUGGGGCACCGGGAUUGACGAAGGAGCUGCGAAACUUGGCUCUGGAUUUCUCACACAAGACCACCACCAAGUUUGAAUUCCACAAAGAGAACUUCUAAGUUUCCAUCAAUGUAUACGCGCCAAUAGAGACCUUAAAAUACUUUUUCUCUUCUUUCCUGUUCACUUCUUUUUGUUUUUAUGUUUGCUUUCUAUAAAUGUAUUUUAUUCUUUGAUGUGUUGCUGGCCUUUUUAAGAAUAGAUUUUUUACGAGAUAGAUAGUGGGAGAUGAUUAAGAGCAGAGUUGGGUAGGUGGGGAAGAGGGAGCAUAUAGUUGCGCACCAGCCACCCUAAGCUGUUAGCUUAUUAAUUACUUCUACACCUAUUAAAAGCUUAAAAGGGAAGUUUGGUGGUGUCAGCCUAGUUCGUCCUCAGUUGAAUUUUAUAUGCCAUAGAGAUGACAAAUAAUAUAGCUUCGGUUACUCGCAUUCACUACUCUCUUUUCCUGUAUUACUGAGAAGGGGGUUGUAUUAUUUACUAGGCCUCUCUGCUAAUGCUAUUGUAGAUACUUAUUAAGUGAUUAAUCAAGUACUAUGAUCAAUGUUAGUUUUCCAACUAAACCAAUUCAUUGAUUGUGUUCUCAGGGUAAUUAGAUGAAAAAGUAAACGUAAAAAGAUGCAUUCAGACUUCUGACCUUGAACUGCAUGUUGACAGCUUUGAGAAACGCAUGCAGCAGCAUGUGGUUUUUAUCUGAGCUUUCUUUUAGGUCUUUGGAAUAUGGGUUUCAUCAACUGUGUUGAGGUCGAGGGUUGUCCAGCUGCUUGGAUUGGCCGGAAAGCAACAAGAGGCCUUUUCAUUAUCUCCGAAAUGCUGCUGCUCCCAUAGACUGUCGGAGUUAGAGUCGGAGAGUUAUUUUUUGACUUUGCUUUCAACUGUCUAGGCACUUCCAGUCUUUCCAGUAUCCUUGAAGUUUUGGCGUCCAGCUGCUUGAUGCCAUCUGGUGCCUCGUUAAUCCUUGGUUUGGAGAUGCUACGGGUGGGAGAAUGCAGUAUCUUGGGAGCUUCAAGGACCACCAACUGCUCCCAUUCUUCCGAAAUCGAGGGUGUGUUUUUCGUAUGCUGCUUCAUGCCAUCUGAUGCCUCGUUAAUUCUUGGUUUAGAGAUGCUACAGGUUGGAGAAUGUAUCUUGGGAGCUUCAAGGACCACCAUCAAUUCUUCCGAAAUUGAGUGUGUGUUCUUUGUAUCUUCUCUAGCUGUAUGGCUCAUCUUCAGAUUUUCCUCUUCCAGCAUUAUGGCUUCUAGCUCUCCGUCUGAGAAAUCGAUUGCCUCCGACGAAUCUGGCGGGUUUAUUGAGCCCAGUUGUGGUGGUCCUGCAUCUACCUUAGGCGGGGGGAUCGACCUGAAUAUACAUUAAUCAAUCCCACUGUCAGCAGACAUCUUAGAUGUACAUUAGAAAGGGAAAAACUGAUGUUAUGCAAGAGCCAGAUUGUUACGAACAAAAAUUCAACACGAGAGAGUAACUGAUGGUUGUUACCUCAACUGUAGGCUCUCAUUUACGAGCGAGUUGAGCUUUUGAUGGAAGCCUCUCUCGUGCUGAAGAGGAUUAUAAUCACUUGAUUCAAUCUGCCAGCAAACCAGUUGAAAUGGAUGAAAUUACUGUCGAACGUAUCAAGUGCGCCACGCACGAUAUAUGUGGUACAAAGGAAAUUGACAUGAAAAGGAAAACAAGCAAGUGUAAGACGCAAGUCGACCUUCUGUAAUACGGAUUGAAUGGAACUCUGAAUAUCCUGAGUGAUUGAACGACUAUCCACUUGAUGGAGAUCGGGCAUAGGCAAGACUUCUUCUGAGCCUAACAGACGCUGCAAAACGAUUAUUUGCAGGCAAAGAAGUCAGGACCUGUGACAACAGAAGCCAGAAAACUGCAAGCACACCCCAACAUGCAGCCAAGGAAUAUAAGAGAAACCAGCAGAAGAUGUGGAAGCUAAGAUGGACGAUAUGGAAAGAGUUAUUUACCCUGAGAAGCAUGGGCCCAUUCUCUGAAGGCAGAAGGAUGUAAAAACAGUUGAAGGCUGUUCCCGCCAUAGUUUUUAGAUUAUAGUAUGAUGAACAUAUCAAUCCUUGAUCCAUUGAAUGUAAGGCAUGACAAAUUCCUCGGAAAGCUGCAAGAUCACAUCCCUUUUAGAAACAUGAAGCUACGGGGUUUCAUGGAACACAAAUCCUUUCCGUGGGAUCCAAUUAUUAAGAGUACUUCUAACUUGCCUUGAUCAUUAAGUUCCAGCCGAUCUUCUUCACCAGAAGAUAUUCCUAUCCUAUGAUAGUCUGCUGGCGUUACAAUAUAUGGAGAGCCAAAAAUGACACCUACGUUUCCACCAGUGUAGCAAGGAAGAGAAGGUUAAUAGUAAAUCCUACUGUAUGACAAGAAAUUUUACAUGGAGCUGAACAAAAGGAACCAGAGAUAGGUGGCAGAGGCAAUAGACUCAAACCAGUCACACUAUCACGCUGAAGCCUGAAGAUUUAUAAGCUCCCAAUACGUUCAUUGCAGGGAAACAAUUUUGUAUGUAAGAACACAAUAGUCACGACACAUAUGCGCUAUAUCCACUUUUUUUGUUAAAAGAAAAGACCACACGAGAAAACAUAGUAUGUCAUCCAAUUCACCAACUAUAUAUGACUAUGCAAAAGAAUGUCCGUGAACGAUGAAACAAAAUAUUAGUGCUUGUUAUUGAUCGCGCAAAGAGUGUAUCUUAUAACUCUUUCAGGAGAUUACCUUCACUCAAAGUCCUCAGGUUUGUUCUUUGAAUGAGGUUGAAUUCAAUGGGACAAGACACAUCUCCGGGCUUCAUAGGACUUUUCUCUUCAAUUCCCACAGAAUUCCAGAUAACAUCAAAUGCUCCAAGAAUACUGGCAGUGUCUGGACAAGAAAGAGUCUCAACUCUCUCAUGUGUCACUUGAUGCAAUUGAGUGCCACGACACCUGCAGGUCUGCAGGAAGUUCACUGAGAUCAUAUUAAAUUUACAAAAGAAGAGGAUAAAUCAAACUAUUCAUCAUAGCAUUAAAAAUCAACAGAACUAUGCAACGUUACAACCUGGCAGGUACCAAAAUCAUCGACAAAUUGAUAGAAGGAGCUGGACAAGCAACAGAGUAUAUGAUCCAGAUUGCCAACAAGGCUCUCCCCAAAGUUGAAACGAGCUAGUAAAGGUUCUUCCAUUUCGCUCCUUAGAUCAUGCAGCCAGCGUUUUGUCAGGCCGUGAAAUAUUUUGCUACCUGUAAAUCUUUUAUGUCAAAGCUGACCACAAACCACCUCCAAAGCAUCCAUAUCUAAAUUGGUGCCUUCGAUUAAUAAAACUGUUAAACAUUCAACCAAAAAACCAUUGACCUCCAUUUGAACCACACAAAAUUGCUAAAAGAUGUACUUGGGAAUAAUGUAGCAGUUUUUAGCACAUGACAAUACACCAAGCAAUAUGGACUUAUUAGACAACAGAGCAAGGCAAAAGCCAAAAUGAUAGCUCCUCAAAGUUGAUCCCUCUUAUCGUAGAAAUGCAGCACAACUUAACCUGGAAGAUAACUUUUGAAAUGGCAAUUAUGAAGAUCAGAUAAGCUUCCCACGAAGCUGCUUUUGUUCUCGAUCAUAUAGCUGAGAUUACUUGAACUUUGCUCGAUCAAUACGAACUCCACAGAAACGCCAUGAUAAGAAGCAUCCUGUUUCAUGAUAGAAGCUAAAAGGUGAAGGAAGCUAUUGGAGCAGGAGCAACAAGAGGAAUACGAGAUUUCCAUUUGGCUCACCGUGAGAAGCUUCUUUUCUGCGUCCUCUAUGGUUCUCGGGAAAUACGAACUUAGAACAAUUAGUUUCUUCUUGACAUCUCUACCUCCCCAUGAAUAAAGCGCUUCAUCAUUCAGUAUACUGGAAAGCUUCAUAUCUACUGACAGUCAAUGAAUACAACUUAUCGUCAUUUCAUCGAACACCUUGCGUGUGAACAGAAGGAGGCAGAGAGAACGACGAUUACCGCAGCAACAAAGAGUAUCGGAAUCGCUGAUAUCAGGCAGAAAAGAGUCUGUAGGAAAGUUGUUAACCGCCUGGUGGAAAUCGCGGAGACGGAAGUCUCCUAUAGGACUGUAUGCGACUUUGAGCUGUUCAAAAUCGUCAAACAUCUGUUCAUUUUCGUCCCGAAGAGAAUAAAACAAAGUGAAAAGAACAGUAAACAGCGGAUGGAAGAAGCGAAACACCUCGAUCGAAGACGAACUACGGUCGUCGGAGACGUAGCACAAGCCGAUCCUGUCACCAACGCAGUCCGGCUUCCCUCGUAGUGAAGAUGAAAUUGCAUAGUAAUUAGCUAGCUGCAACAAACACUGGUCGGAAUCCGCGAUAGUCAGCCAAAUCGAAAGAUAGACGGAGAGUCCUGCCAUUGCUGAAAUAAACAGGAAAAUGCACGUCGCUACCUGCUUUAGGUCUGCAACUGAGGAAGGCGACAGGCUGCAGAGAUUCAUCUCGAAACAGAGUAGCACCAUUCUUCUCUUGCUCCUCCUUCCCCCCGGGGGUUGCUCUUUCAACAGUCUUUUGGGGUUUGAAUUUCUUUCCCCUCCUUUGGCGCGGAAUGAUUAUAAAAAUAAACCACCGUCUCGAAAACAAGAAUAUUUAUGUGCGAUUGGUGAUCUGAAUUCCUAUUUGACGCCCUAAUUUUUGAAUUAAAUGACAUUCUAAUUUGAGUAAAUUAUAAUAUUAUCUUUUCGUAAAAUCGUAAUCCAUAUAAGUUGUGUGUAUUGACUAGUUCAAACACAAUCAAACACUUUCAAACGUUGAUCCGAAUAAGAAAUCGAAAAUCGGAAACGAACGUUACAUGUACGAAAUAAAUAAAAAAGGUAUGGAAGGCCUCGGCCGGCCGCUCGUUUCGGCAGAGAGGGGCCUAGGCCGGCCGCUGGUUCCAGCCCAAGCUAGUGCCGGCCGGAACAAGUUUAAAUGUAAUACUAGGAAAGGAAAUUAUAGAACAAGAAGACAAAAACGUCAGCCACACAAGAAUAGAGAGAUCCUCCAAAGUGAGUACGACGAAGUGGCCGUGUAGCUGGUGCGUCAAUGUGAUUGAUCUGCCCUUCCUUGUGGGCCGAUUGUAGGUGGCGAUGAUGUUGUUGUGGUUGCAAACGCCGCUUGCAAAGCGGCGGAGAGAUGAGUAAUCGUCAUCGGGGGCGCGACGAUCCCGUUGUUGGGGCUGUGGCGCAACGUUUAGGAUGAUUUGGAAGUCCCAUUGUUGGUUGCGGAUGCAGCGCUGCUCAUGACUAGGGUGGACGAUGGGUUAUGUCGGGAUGGGUAAGGGUAUGUUGAUGGUGAAGGGCGUUGGAUUGUUGUUAUCGCCGACGGGAAGGUUCGAACUGAAGGUAGGGUUUUGGCUAGGGUUUCAUGAAGAGGCCAUAAUCGGCUUUCACAAACUCUCAUACAAGAGGCGACAAGCCAACAGUCCAAACCAACCUAGUGACCUACUAAUUAUUAAUGCAUUUGGCUCCACUGCACCUUAAUUAAUCCUGUUGGAUCAUCAUCAGCUAUUCAAUAUGAAAUUUGUAUACACAUUCGUUCAAAGUGCUCAGCUAAUUUCAAUGCACACAUAUAAAAACAUAAGAUUAUGUACAUCUCAGAAAUUGAUUAACAAUUUUUAAUCGAAAUUUUAUCGCCANNNNNNNNNNNNNNNNNNNNNNNNNNNNNNNNNNNNNNNNNNNNNNNNNNNNNNNNNNNNNNNNNNNNNNNNNNNNNNNNNNNNNNNNNNNNNNNNNNNNNNNNNNNNNNNNNNNNUACACAAUCAAAAUGAACCAAUCAAAAUCAUUAGAUAUUAUUUAUCUUCACUUUAUUUUCUAUUCAUAAAUGUAUUUCUUGAAAAUUGUAGCAAUGUGCCUAUGUGACAUUGCUAAUUAACUUGUUAAAUUAGCAAGAUGGCUAUAUUAGCAAAGCAAUCCUCUCCAUCCCUAGCAAUUAUUUAAAUAGUGUCACAUUACCCUUCACAUCACUUAACAAUUGCUAAAAAGGUAGGGAUAUACAUGCUCUAAUACAACAAGCAAACUAUUGUAUUAAAUUGCUCAUAUGAUUAUUUGACUUUAUAAGGUCAUCUCCAUUGCAAAAUUUGUUUAUAAAUNNNNNNNNNNNNNNNNNNNNNNNNNNNNNNNNNNNNNNNNNNNNNNNNNNNNNNNNNNNNNNNNNNNNNNNNNNNNNNNNNNNNNNNNNNNNNNNNNNNNNNNNNNNNNNNNNNNNNNNNNNNNNNNNNNNNNNNNNNNNNNNNNNNNNNNNNNNNNNNNNNNNNNNNNNNNNNNNNUAUAAAUCAUAAUCAUAAAUUUUAUUUUCUUAAAAAGUGGUCCAUUUGCCUAUGUGACAUUGCUAAUUGACUGUCUAAUUUAGAAAUUUUGCUAAUUUAUCAGGCCUAUGUGGAUCCCUAAUAAAUGUUAAUUAGAUGUCACCGUAUCAUCCACGUUACUUUAACAAUUGCUAAAAUUUUACAAUGGAAAUAACCUAAAUCAUAUAAUAUGUCUAGGAAGAAAAUCGACAUCAAAUUGCCAUAGAGUAUCAUCACAACUAAAGCUAAUACCAAAUAAAAUACAAAUGGAUGAAUACUAAAAAAAUACUAUAAUCCACAUUUUACUCAGAGAUUUACGAACAAAAAAUUGUAGGCCUUAAAUAAAGAGGAUGAGAAUCCGUAUGUUAAAACUUAAAAAAUGUGAUUGGAUUUAAUCCCACCUUAUGUGGUUAACUCAUAUUUUGGAUUACCAAAAAACUCGGAGUAAGUAAAACACGAGCCAUCGUGGAAGAGUGUUGGAAGCUGGCGGGUCUUUGGAGCGCAACCUUUUAUGCUUGGUUGUCUGGAAUUGGUUUCAAAGAUUGGGUGAUGCAAUCCCUUGAUGUUUGGACAGAAAGAAAAAAAAAAGCUUUUGAUGGUAGUCAUUACGAACGAUAUGGCUAGAGAGAAAUCAUACGGUGUGGUAGCAAUGUGUUUCAACGACUAAAAAGAUGGCGACGAAGGGUAUGGAGACAAUAAAGGAUUGGCAAGCGAUGCAUCAUGUAGGUCAAACUCUACUAUUACUAUGGUAACGCCUUUUGGUUGUCCUAAAUGACACCCUCCCUUGCUUCACUCAUUCAAAUGUAAUGUGAAUGUCAAUUUUAACCCGCUAGACCAUUGUUGGGGAUUUGACAUGAUUUUGAGGGACCACAUGAGUUGUUUCAUCAAAUGUGUGGGCGUUUUCACUCGGCGAGUGUCCCUAAUGUUCAAGAGGACGAGGCCAUGACGUUACUUGAGGUAAUGAAUUGGGCAGCUCAUAGCGGCAAUUCGAACGAUGUUUUCAAGGUCGACUCAACGUAGGUUGCUACAACAGUGACAACCUGCACAAAAAACUCUACCGAGUUUGGUUAGAUUAUCAUUUCGUGUCAUGCUUUCUUGCUCAUAUAUUUUUUCUUAGUGUUGUUUCUGUUAUAAGAGAUAGGAGUUUCACCGCUCAUGAAUUAGCUUAACGAUCCUUUUCCUUAACACCGUCACAUGUUUGACAUACAAUUACACUCUCAUACAGGUAUAUACAACCAGAUGACUAAUAAUAUGAGCAUAUGAUUUUGAAAAAAAAAGUAAGACAUCGGGCUCUUUUAAAUUGGUUGUUUCGGAUUUUACCUUUUUAGAACUUUUUGAAUGAAUUUAUGAAAGUCAAAAAUUAUUUAAUAUGAAUAAAAGCCAAUUUGAAAUAAACCCAAUCCGGCCGAUUCCCAAACCUAGUUCACCAAGUAUAUCCAACGUGACGAUUUAUUAUUUUGGCAGCCGAGGAACGCCGGAAAAGGACAAAAAGAUUACUGGGUUUCGCCCCGCCACCGGCGGUGUGGUCCCCAAAUGUUUAAUGUAAUGUGCACUGAAACUUCUUUUGGCUCGUUUCUCAAUUUCCAUCGCGGAGCAAAAUUCUUCAAGCUGAAGGAAUCAGUGUUCCCGACGACAACCAAGGGGAAGAAACAACGUGGCGGCCAUGUCACUGGACGUCUGUCAUCCGUCUCCGAUCGGAUCGACACGUCUGCUCAUCCUCUGCCUCUCUCUCCUAACUUUUCCCUGCUUCCCCAUCACCGAUUCAGCAUGCCUCUGCUCUUCCGCAGCCGCCGCAAGGAUCAGUCACCCUUCCACUUCGCUUCGUUUUCUAGCUCAGACCACUGAUACAUUCUACUCAUGGUACAUCCAUACUUCUCAUCUACAGACUUCUCUCUUUCGCCAUCUUUGAUUCAUCUUUCAUCCGUUGACCAAACCCGAUUAGGCUGUAGGACUAGGAUGCAACCUUUUAAGCAAUUGUGCGAAAGGUUUCGUGCGAGUGUAAUUAGAGUUAAAUCGAGCAUCCAGGUAGUACCGUAGUAGAGUUCUUCUCUACAUUUCCGACCUCCGGUUUAUUUCUGACUUGUAAAUUUUUUGUUUGAUUUCUUUCUUCUUGGUCAGGACAGUGACAAAUUGAGCGGUGGCAAGUGUUCCAACGCUUCCCAACUUAGGGAAGCAUUCAAAAUAUUCAACGCCGGAUUCUUCACUGAAGCGAAGGUGCUGAAAGUUGCUAAAGAGGCCGUUGAGCUCAACUUGCCAAUCGCGGAAUCCAAUAGGAAGUUGGUUGCUUCUGUAAACGGUGGAUUGCAGGAUCCUUCUUGUUUGGUCUUCAGUUCGGAGUGGGCUCCCGGUAGUAAUGGUGCUGCCAUCGAUAAAUUUAACUAUCCUUCCGUCUCCGGCCUCAAGAAGAGGCCGGAAAAUGACGAGGAUAUUGCCUUUAUGAAUGUAAGUUGAUUUGAAUUUUUAGAAAAGUGAAAAAAUGGAAUCACCUCUUUGUUUUGAGAAUCUGCAUUUCCCCCCAUCCUUUCAAGAUACUUGAAUUAGGGGAGCUCCUUCGGACCGAGCAACUUACUUCUCAGCAACUUACCACAAUCUUCCUCAAGAGAUUGAAGAGGUUAGGAUAUAUGGAAGUUGGGUUAUGUAUAUGUAUUCCCAUGGAAAUGGAUGGUUGAUGAUCAAUUUUGCUUGUGAUUCAAAAUCCAGGUACAACGGAGCUCUUGAGUCUGUGAUCACUCUUACUGAAGACUUGGCUUAUGAGCAAGCCAAAAAGGCUGAUGAAUUGUUUGCCAAAGGAGACUACUUGGGUGAAUGUUUCAUCUACUCUAACUCACAGCAACCAUUUUCUUCCCCUAUUGCCAUUACAAUUUCUGGAAAACUGUUCUGAUGGUGGGUUACUUACUACAGGACCUCUCCAUGGCAUGCCUUAUGGUUUGAAGGACAUAAUAGCAGUACCUGGCUACAAAACAACAUGGGGUUCAACAAGUUUCAAGAACCAAGUCCUUGACAUCGAAGCCACUGUCUAUCAAAGGUAGCUGCUUCUCCGUGAGCAAACUCUUGACGACUACUUGGUGCAUCAAUUUAGUUUGCGAGGCCCAAUUUUGCUUCGAGGGAAUUUGCAGGUUGAAGGCUGCAGGUGCUGUUCUAGUUGCUAAACUCGUUUCGGGAUCCCUGGCCUAUGAUGACAUUUGGUUCGGAGGCAGGACUAGAAACCCUUGGAACAUUGAGGAGUUCUCCACCGGUUCAUCUGCUGGACCUGCUGCUAGUACCUCGGCUGGUAUGCUUCAUCAAUCUUUGGAUUGGGUAUCUCAUGAGACUGCUUUUGGAUGAUUCUGCUGCAUACUAAUUAAGAAGUGGGGAUUUUUUUACAGGAAUGGUCCCUUUCGCAAUUGGUUCCGAAACAGCCGGCUCAAUCACAUACCCUGCUGCUCGUUGUGGGGUGACUGCAUUGCGCCCGACUUUUGGCACUGUUGCUCGAACUGGUGUUAUGAGCAUAUCAGAAAGCUUGGUGAACUUUUCUUCAAUAACUUAUGUAGACCCGUAGGGGGUCCUCCCCAUCUUCCUGCUGGUCUUAAUUUUUCUUUUUGUAAUCUGGGGAACAGGAUAAGCUUGGCCCUUUCUGCAGAAGCGCCAUUGAUUGUUCCAUAGUUCUCGAUACCAUUCGUGGGAAAGAUUCAGACGAUAUCUCUUCCAGAGAUGUUCCCCUUCAAGACCCGUUCUCGGUCGACAUUACUAAGCUCACAGUUGGAUAUCUAGAUGAUGCCGAAAUGGAGGUCAGCAAAAUCUUGCCCCACAUUUUUAUGAAUUGGAAUAUAAAUGUGAACCGAUUGAAAAUGUUGAAUCUAGUUAGAAAAAUCGUACUAAAUAUGUUUAAAAUUUCUGUUUUCGUACUACUAUAGAGUCUAUAAUUUUUUGAUGUUUGUUUGUUUGAUAUUUCAUGCUGCUUAAUAAUAUAUUAAAAUAACGUUUAAAACUCUGGAUGUAUUAAUACCUUACUUUACUAACCAUGAUGCUCUAAAGCUGGGUGUUUUGUUAGGUUGUGGAUGUGCUCAAGUCCAAAGGUGUGAACAUGGUCCCAUUCAAUCUAAGCUACACGGUGGAUUCCGUCCAAGGAAUACUAAAUUUCACAAUGGACGUUGAGAUGCUGGCUCACUUUGACCAGUGGCAGCGCGAAGGGCUGGACGAUGUUUACGAAGCUCAGGAUCAAUGGCCCACAGAGCUCCGCCGUGCCCGAGCAAUCUCGGCCGUCGAUUUCUUUCAUUCCCAAAGGGCGCGAUGGAAACUCAUCAGGGAAGUGAAAGAAAGCUUCACAGUCGACGCUUUCGUUGGUAACGUGACAGACUGGGAGAAAGUGUGCUUGGGUAAUUUGGUUGGUUUGCCGGUUAUGGUUGUUCCUACAGGGUUCAAGAAUAUUCCGAACCCGCCCUCCACCGGUACGAAACGAAGAACCACCGUAACCACUGGGAUCUACGCUCCUCCUGAUCAUGACCAUAUCGUAAGCCUCUUUCGUUCUCUUCCUGAACCGUCUAGGGGUAGAAUUCAGGCCGGGUUUGAUUGUGUUUGCCGCUACGUGGUCAAGUCAUUUCGGGUAAACCUGGACUAAACAAGAUAGAGAUUGGGUUUGCUUAUAAAGAGAUUCGGGUAAAGACCUGAACUCGGUGAAAGCCUGGUUUGACCGGAUUGGUUAAGCCCGAUCGGCCUGAUUCUCUGCCCUAGUUUGACUCGCAUUUUAUAUAAUGUGCCGAACUGGUGAGGUUGCUAAUCCUUUCUUUGCAGGUCCUGGCGCUGGCAAUGGCGUACCAGUCGGUGACGGAUCACCAUAAGCAGAGGCCGCCGAUUGAUAAUCUUGGCCGAGAUGAUGUGAUUCCCGACCCGCCCAAGCACAUCAUCCCUCCCAGAGUUCUGCGUCUCUGAACAUACUUCUUCCGCCCUGUUGCGGAAUAUUCGGGUGAAAAAAUCACAAUGCAUAUAGCAGCACCUUGUACAUUAGUUCGUCCAUGGCGAAUUGUCUGCUACGGUUUCUGUUACAAGUCUUCAAAUUUUGUCUACUAGAGUUCCUGCAAGUCUUCAAGUUUUGUCUGUUAGAGCUCCUGCAGAAGUGUUCAAAAACGUAACCAGAUGAGUUGAUUAUUCUGUGUACGAAAAACGGGCUUUUAUGUGUUAAAAAUGCAAAAUGGGUGUGCCUAAUGAAAUGUUGAAUACCCUAGCGUUAUGGAGACUAGAUUGGUGGGAGAGGUGAAGCAAGGAAAAAGUCGGAUUAUGUUUUCGGCACCGAAUUGGAUUUAUUUCGGAUACCAGAUAAUCAAAUUAUUUAUGCCCUAUAAGUGAGAGCAAUUCCACUAAAUUUGAGGGCUUUAUUGUACUUAAUCCUAAUUGGAGAGGUUUGUAAUUACAAAUCUAGCGGAUUUCGUUUGGAGAGAUUGGUACUUACAAAUCUGGCCAAUUCUGCCUUGCAUCCUAAUUGGUUAGUGACAAUGGAUAAUACAAAGAAAGAAGGGGUACUUAAUUAAAUGUAUUGGAACGUGAAUAUAACCCUUGAAAAAAAUAUAAAAAAUAAAAUGUAUGUUAAUUGCAUGUGUUGUGGGAAGUUGGAAUUUCACUUUCGAGCUCCAUCAUCCAGACCAACCACAGUCUUUCAAACGGUAGAAUUUAAUUUGAAGGCCAUUACUUCCCCGACAGCACGAAUUCUAAAUAAUUAAGACGAAUUCCCUGCAAAUUACAGUUUCUGGAUCAAACAAUACAAACAGAUCGUUGCUCUGUGUGCAAAGAGCACACAGCUUUUUUUUAAUAUUUUGACUUCUUUUAUCUAUCUUUCUGCCCACUACUCGAUUUGUAACGAACUGCAAAUACCCGAAUUCCGCAGGUUACCCGAUCAGGUAUUUUACGUAAUUUUGCCACAAAAAGAAGGGUAUAUCCAUCCACUCCCCCAAAACCCGCAUUGCCCCCUCUUCCCCCUUCUACCCUCCCUCCCUCCCCCUGUUCUGUCGUGUUUAUAUUUCCUCCCAAACUCCUAAAACUCUCUUUCUCUCUACUCCAUCUCUCCCCCCCGCCGUCUCAUCUAAACUCUCAGUCUCUCUCUCUCUCCACAGUACAAUUCCCAGAGAUCCACUCAGGGAUCCACUCAGGUAUAACUCAAUCUCACUAGAUCGUAUCUUCUUCUUCUUCUUCGACUCCAGCUCUGCCGGCUUCUGCUGCCGUCCGAGCUCUGUUUCAGAUUUGAUUAGCUUCUUUCUCUAUUUGUCCGUCUCUACAUGCAAUUAUCUGAAUAUCAUUCUGUAUCUCUCUCAAAUGCGUCUCACUUGAUGGCGGCUUUGAUCGCAUGGCAGAUCGAGCUGUUUUCCUGUUCAACAGCUGGUUGUUGAUUUUAUUUUUUAAAAUUUUGUAUCGAUCGGGCGUUAUCCAUUGAUGCAGAUCUGACAGAUUCCGGAUCUAUUAUUGUUUGAAAUUUCGAGCUCAGCUGAUUCUCAUUGUUUUGGUUUGAUUCAAUGCAUCAUGGUUUUUUCAUUGGUUGUUAAUUCAUUUUUCACCGAUCGUUGCGUAUGCGUGUGGUUUGGUUACGGAUGGAUGUCGUUGUUUGACUGUGGAGUGUUUUGGUGGACUCUCUGCUGGUGAUCAAUGACUACUUGAUACAAUGAUACCUGCAUGUCGUAAGAUUUUGUUCCUUGUGAUUCACGUGUCUUAUGGCCUUGUUUUUGCCUUCCGUUAAUCGGAGCGGGAAUCCGAUGCAUUGUUUGGCUACUACUCAUCGAUUAAUUCAUUUUUGGAAGUUUGCUUUGUGUAAAUUCUUUUUCCGCAGGAUUGCAUGUGCUAAUUUUCCUUCUAUUCCAAUGCGUAUGUAUGAUGGAAUGUGAUAUCUGCGCCUCUACUUUUUGUUCUUGUUUCUUUCUGAAGGUGGUUGUUUUCUUGGUCUUUUUGUAAAGAUCUUAGCUGUUGCGAUGGCGACAUCAACAGCUGGGGCCACAGGAUGGUACAAGGGGAGAGUGAAAGCUGUGACAUCUGGUGACUGUUUGGUCAUUAUGGCUAUUACUACUAGCAAGCCCGGACCUCCUCCUGAGAAGACUGUGACUUUGGCUUCUCUUAUGGCACCUAAGCUGGUAACCUUUUUCUGUCUCAGAAAAUCCUGUUUAAUUGUUCGUUGUUACUUGAAAUCUGGAUUCAUGUAGCCGAAUCUUAAUCUUCUGAGUCAGAAAUUGCAUAGUUGGAAAUGAUGGUUCUAUGGUUUUCUCGUAUUUUGUUUUGCAGGCUCGGAGAGGUGGGGUUGACGAGCCCUUUGCUUGGGAGAGUAGAGAGUUUCUGAGGAAGCUUUGCAUAGGGAAGGUAAUGGUUCUUGCACUUGCGUUUGAUGUUAUUCCAGCUGGAGGAAACUGUGAUGUUAAAGUUCGAUGUUCUUGGUUUGGUAUGCCUUAUGUGACCUUUCCUUCUCUUUACAGGAAGUAACUUUCAAGGUUGACUACGCUGUCCCUUCAAUUGGAAGGGAAUUCGGUACAGUCUUCUUGGGUGACAAAAAUGUUGCGUCACUGGUUGUUUCUGAAGGCUGGGCCAGGGUAAUGUCUCUCUUGUGACAUGUUCCAUAUGUUUUAGGAUGGUUUAAUACAUCAAUUGGUCUAAUUGAUUCAUUGAACCAUGAAUCUUUAGGUCAGGGAGCAGGGAUCACAGAAAGGAGAAGUGAGUCCCUUCCUUGCUGAAUUGCUACAGCUUGAAGAACAAGCUAAGCAACAAGGUCUUGGUAAAUGGAGUAAGGUUAGUUGCAUAUCGUUUCUUAAAGAAUUUAAGUUAACUAUACAUUUUUCUUUAAAUUUCAACCAAUCAGAAAGGACAAUGCUCUGAAGUAUCGCUUGCUAGGAGGUUAUCUGAUGUGCAUACCUUAGCUGUGAUAUCAGUUAGAUAAAAUAGUGCUACUGGAAUUUCAAAUAAAGGUCGGAAAUAGCGGUUUCAUAGAUAGGAUGGAGGGAGAACCAUAACUUGGAGGUGAUAAGCCACAAAAAACCACAAGAAUAACUCUUGUAACAAAUGUUUAAAACUCUUACUUGAAUCUGAUGCCUAAAAACAACUACAAGCUCUCUUUAUAGACGGUGCGAUAGACUACUAGUAGUAAAAUAACUCCCUCUACUACCAAGACAUCGUUAAUACUAUUCUUAGUGUCCUAAAUAGUUCAAAUAGGUUCAACAAUGUGGCAUAUUAUUUAGUAAUGGAUCUAAAUUCCUGUUACUUUUUAAGCUCUUCUUAUCUGUUAGUGGUUUCUUAUGAUGCAUCAAGUUUGGAGAAAGUAAAGCUGAAUGUGUGUUUCUUUCUCACUGUAGGAUCCUGGUGCUGCUGAGGCAUCUGUCAGAGAUCUGCCCCCUUCUUCAAUUGGAGAUCCUAGUAACUUGAAUGCCGAAGCUUUUAUUGCUGAAAACAAAGGUAGACCGAUGGAAUGCGUUGUUGAGCAGGUUCGUGAUGGCAGUACUAUCCGGGUGUAUUUGCUCCCAGAUUUUCAGUUCGUUCAAGUUUUUGUUGCUGGAAUUCAGGUAUGUAUUCUAUGGAUUUAUUGUUACUUCACAUUGUGGCCAGUCCUGGUCCAUCUAGAUGCCUAACCAUAUAUUCUCCCAAUUAUAUUCUUUUCGUAGUCCCCAUCAAUGGGUAGAAGACCACCAGUAGAAAAUUUCAAAGAGUCAGAGGCAAAACCCAAGGAGUCUAACGGAGAUGCCUCUGCGCCCCAGGCUCCCCUGACUACAGCGCAAAGAUUUGCAGGUUCUGCGAUGGCUGCUGAAGUGGCUCCUGAACCGUUUGCUGUUGAGGCCAAACAUUUUACAGAGCUUCGUGUUUUAAAUAGAGACGUAGGUCCUUCCUCAUUUUUAGUAGCAUUAUAUCUUUUGAUGGUCCCACUUACCACGUUCUUGUUUUACAGGUUCGUGUUGUAUUCGAGGGUCAUGACAAGUUUAGCAAUUUGAUUGGGUCGGUGUAUUAUCCUGACGGUGACACUGCUAAGGAUUUGGGUUUGGAACUUGUGGAAAAUGUAAGUAGGCUAAUCUUUUCCAUUAUCUUAAGGUUUGCUGUCCUCCAGGCAUUGUGUAGCCAUAAAGACAUUUGGAGUGCUCCAGAUACUUACUUUCUGAAAUGGAAAUUCUUGGUUUUUCGGUAUGAACUAAUUUCAAAUUGUGAUUGGAACUAGUUCACUCAGCUUGUCAUUUUGGUGUGUUUGAAGGAAAUGAUUUCAAAUGUAUGACGUUGGAGAGUAUCCUAUUUUUCAGGGUUUAGCUAAAUAUGUUGAAUGGAGCGCCAACAUUCUGGAACAAGAUGCCAAGCAAAAGUUGAGAGCUGCAGAGCUUCAAGCAAAGAAAAUCCGCUUGAAGAUUUGGACAAAUUUUGUUCCAGAUCCUAAAAAAUCAAAAGCAAUCCAUGACCAGAAAUUCUCUGGAAAGGUGCCGUUUUGGUUUAUCAUUUAGUGUUCUGCCUGGUAUCUUAACAGUUGCGUCUAAGUUGAUUUUCUGCCAGGCUUAACUCAACUUUCGUUUAUAGGUUGUGGAGGUUGUAAGCGGUGAUUGCAUCAUUGUAGCCGAUGAUUCUGUCCCCUUCGGACAGCUGGCUGAAAGGCGAGUCUAUCUUUCAAGUAUUAAGUGUCCAAAAAUGGGGAAUCCUCGUAGAAAUGAGAUUCCUGAACCAUAUGCCCCAGAAGCAAAAGAGUUCUUGAGAACACGCCUCAUCGGCCAACAGGUAUGGAAUUAUUAUGAUUGUUCUACCCAUUUCCUGGCUGUUACGGACAAAACAUGCAAGGUCUUAAUGGUUCAUUUCAGGUCAAUGUGCAAAUGGAGUACUCUUGGAACCCUGAUGCAUCUGGAGGUGCGGCUGGUGGUGAGUCGAGAGUAAUGGAUUUUGGGUCCAUCUUUCUUCCAUCUGCUACCAAGGGAGAAGGAGCACCAGAAGCUGCACCAAAUGCUUCUGGUCAGCAAGCCGGUAUCAAUGUGGCUGAGUUGAUUCUCUCUCGUGGACUUGGUUCUGUUACCAAACAUAGAGACUUUGAGGAGAGGUCAGACUUCUAUGAUACCCUUCUUGCUGCUGAAACACGGGCCAGGAAUGGAAAGAAAGGGAUUCAUUCCACGAAGCAGCCUUCUUCCACGCACGUAACAGACCUCACUACGGACGCGGUUAGUAGUAGUUGUUGUGGGUUUUCUUUUUCAAUACAUAGUCUGGUGGACCUUAUAAUUUUCAAAUGCUAAUUCAGACAUCAGCCAAGAAAGCCAGAGAUUUCUUGCCGUUCCUGCAACGUGGUAGAAGGAUUACUGCUAUAGUGGAAUAUGUGCUUAGUGGUCAUCGUUUCAAGCUGUUGGUUCCGAAGGAAACUUGCAGCAUUGCGUUUUCUUUUUCUGGUGUUAGGUGCCCCGGUCGUAACGAACCUUAUGCAGAUGAAGCAAUUGCUUUCAUGAGGAGGAGGUUAAUGCAGAGAGAAGUAGAGGUAUUUGUCCAGUUUCUGGUUUCUUUUUCAGCUUUACAGAUUCUUUGUUUUCUUCAGUUUGGUUGAAAUCCUUUUUUGUUCACACAGAUUGAAGUGGAGACCGUAGAUAGAACUAAAACUUUCCUGGGAUCCUUGUGGGAGUCGAGAACUAACAUGGCAACCGUUCUUUUGGAAGCUGGCCUGGCAAAACUGCAGAUGUCCUUUGGUAGGGACAGGAUUGCUGAUGCCCAUCUUCUUGAGCGGGCGGAGGAAUCAGCCAAGAAACAGAAAUUGAAAGUAAGGAGCAUAUAUACUCUUGGUCUGAGCAAUCUACUGAUGCCAAUGCAAUGAGUUCAUGAGUUCAGUAAUAAGUUUUUACCAUCCUUAGAUGCACUGUUGAUUAUGUGUGUUAUUUGGGGUACUUCAAUUUUCAGAUAUGGGAGAAUUAUGUUGAAGGGGAAGUGGUAACUAAUGGUGCUCCAACCAUUGAGGGCAAGCAGAAAGAAGUUCUGAAGGUGGUUUGCUCGUUACUGGACAAAUAUGCUCUUGUUUAUUCAUUAGUGGUCCAUGACUUCCCAUUGUAAUGUUUUUUGCAGGUAGUGGUUACCGAAGUUUUGGGAGCGGGUAAGUUCUACGUCCAGACUGUUGGGGAUCAGAGAGUAGCAUCUAUUCAGCAACAGCUCGCAUCCCUUAAAAUCCAGGAAGCUCCAGUCAUUGGUGCUUUUAAUCCAAAGAAGGGUGAUAUUGUACUGGCACAGUUCAGUGCAGAUAACUCGUGGAAUCGAGCUAUGGUAUGAAUCUGCCAAUUAUUUCUUUCUUUCCUUCACUCAGGAUGAUUGUGUUCUGAAUAAGCAUGACUUGAUCCUCCUCUGUGUGAAAAGAGGGUUAGUUCUCCUCCUGCUUCCACAGCUUGAGAAGAUUUGAUAUAAUUAUGUUCACUGCUGAAGUUUUUAGUUGUCAUAUGUAGCUAUUGUAUUGAUUAUAAACUGAUGACUAUAAUUUAUUUGGUGAAGAUUGUGAAUGUGCCACGCGGAGGAGUUGUCCAAUCAACAAAGGAUAAGUUCGAGGUGUUCUACAUUGAUUACGGGAACCAGGAAGAGGUUCCGUACGGACAUUUGCGACCUAUUGACCCUGCAGUCUCUGUAGCACCUGGACUUGCACAGCUAUGCAGCCUGGCAUACAUCAAGGUCCCGGACUUGGAUGCUGACUGUGGCCCAGAGGCAGGUGAGUUUUUGAGCGGUAGCACACUUAACAGUGGGAAAGAGUUCAGGGCAAAGAUAGAGGAGAAGGAUGUUUCCGGAGGAAAAGUUAAAGGACAGGGAACUGGUCCAGUCCUUAUCGUAACCCUCGUGGCUGUGGAUGCUGAAAUAAGCGUAAAUGCCGCCCUGGUUCAGGUAAAACUUACUUUCUCUUUUUGUCCAUUUCAUUAAUGGGUGGUUUGAUUUUGUAAUUUGGUCGAAAGUGAUUUCAAAUAGCAAGUGAUUUCGCAGUAGAGUUUUGGAAAUUAAAAGAAAAAUAUAUAAUUUAGUAAAUGACUAAUACACCCCCGUAACUUAUUCAAUUCUCCUAAACCUAACAAGGCAAUUUAGUCUUUUCCUACCCAAAUAAUUUGAGAUUUGGUGAAUCUCUUGUCCAUGAAGUGGAUUUGAAAUCACCUCCAAAUCACUUAGGGGACCAAAAGGUGGUUUCAAAUCCAACUUUAUUUUCGAAUUCAAAUGUGGUAUUUUGACCAAAUCAUCAUCCGGGACUACGAAAUCACUCUGCAAAUCUGAAAAACAGACGACCUCCAAGUGAUGGAUGCUAGCGUGCCUUGUUGUGGUAUCAUUGUAGUGAUGGUUGUUGUGGGUUAUGGUAUUUGCAGGAAGGACUUGCUAGGAUAGAGAAGAAGAGGAAGUGGGAUCCAAGGGAGAGACAAGUAGCCCUUGAGAACUUGGAGAAGUUCCAGGACGAAGCUCGAUCGGGCAGGAGGGGAAUGUGGGUCUAUGGAGAUGUGCAGUCAGAUGAUGAGGAUGAAGGUGGUCCUCGUAAAGCUCCAGGCGGUGGUGGACGUCGAUGAGCUAUGAACUAAAUCCUCCCCACCAAACGUGGUGCUCCGGGAGAAAAGAGUGACUGCCAGAUAGGGAGAAACCGAAAAAAGAAACAAUUUUGUUUUGACAAGUUUUGUUUGGAACAUGCUUUUAAUUUGUUGUUUUGUUUUGUGUUUUAGCUUAAGAGGGUUGGUUUGGUUAUAAUUUGUAGGCGAGAAAUAAGGUGAACUAUUUAUAGCCAGAGACUGGUUUCUGUUGGCAGAGUGUACCUUUGAAUACUUGUUUAGUACGUUCCUUCACUUUCACUUUCACUAUAUUACUCCCCUUCUUCCUUCUCCCUCAACCAAUUAUUAAGUUGCUGGCCAAGUAAUGGUUAAGUUCUUCCCUACAAGUGAUUACAGAUUAUGGCCUUGAUCUUGAAACCAUACUUGUGGAACAACCAAUGACAAGGGGAUUCUUUACGUUCAGUGCCGGCUUUUGUGCUCUUCCUAUGGAGUUAUUUCCAUUGUGCAACCGCUGACAGGCUUAGAAUCUUGUUGUUGAUUGGGUUCAUGAGUUGAUGUCGAGGGCGUGGGAGAUCGAAUUUAUUCAUAUCUUUAAAGAAAACAAUCAUGCAACAAAUUAUUUAGCUUGUAUUGGGCACGAGUUGUCCUUCGGCGUGUACAAAGGGUACCUUAUUUGAUGCUUUCUUGGCCUACUGAUCACGUUAUAAUAUACUUGGCGAUUAUGAAUUUCAUUUGAUCGUGAAUAAAAAUAGGCGCACUCCGCCUAAUGGUUAAAAAUAAAACACUAGGUCUGCAGUUUUGUUUCGGGCAGGAUACGAGGAUGAAAGUUGCAUAAUUUUGUCUUGUUCAUCUGGAUUCCAACGUCACGGGGUAGCUUAUCCAUUGCUAAUUAACACAGCUAAAGACGAAAGCAAUGCACCAUUAAAAUAGAAUUUAUAUUAGACAUUAAAAAGAGUCCCCAUUCACUAAAGAGACUUGGUUAUAAUUGGAGAAGAAAACCGUUGGUGUCUUCAGUCGAUCAAACUGAUGUACAAUUUCCAACAAACUUCUAGCAAUUAUUGCAUAAAGCUACAAACUGAGUUCCCACCUUUUUCAGACAUGUCACUAAUUGAUUUAGCGGAUAUAAGUUACAAGACACAUCAUUUCAAAGAUCAUCCAAAUCUUCUUUUUUAUUUUAUAGUUCUGGUCUCAUUUUUUUCUGUCAGAUUUUGAAUCUAAUUUCUUAUACAAUCUCAUUGGAUUAAGAUAUAGACACGUUUUUUUUCUUAAUUAGAAUAUCCAGACUUGACAUAUAAUGUAUUGCGGUUUUUGAAUAUGUAAUUAUUUCUAUUUAAAUCAUCUUCUUUAUGCAUUUCAAUAUUUAUAUAAAAAAGAAAUACGGUUUUUGUUAGUCUAAAAAUGGACUAUAUGGGCAAUUGGACUGUGUGAGUAAAGUUGAAUUGUGUUAAUAAAAAGCAGAUCGUGUUAGUAGAAAAUGGUCUGGGUUAGUAAAAACAUAUUGCGUUUGUAAAAUAUGAACUGUACAAAUUAUUAAGACUAUAAUAACGGAAUACGAACGAUUCUUAGCACAGAUGAGUCAUUUUUGUGUCCCCUCCUGAGUUAGUAGCUUCGGACAGAUCAAGGGAGGUUUUUGAAAGCUUUCAUAGCUAACCUUGGAAGCUGCUAUAUUACUCGUGUUGAGAUGCGUUGAGGACCUUCGGUUGGCUUGGUCCUUGGGUAUUCGUUGUAUUAGAGUCCUUUCCAACUCUUUGUUGGUGAUUUCUAUUCUGCUUAAGGAUUCUUCCCUCUAUCACCAACAUGCUAUUUUUGUUCUACAGUUCAAGGAGCUCUACAGCCGCCAAUGGGAAGUUCAUCUAUCUCAUACUUACCGCGAAGCUAAUUAUGCUGCGGAUUAUUUGGCUAACUUGAGCCAUUCUUUUGAUUUUGGUAUACAAGUUUUUGAUUCGUCAGAUCGAAAUCUUGUCCUACUCGUUAUAUUAUGAUCUCGUAGGUGUCUCGAUACCUAAAACUAUGAGAGUUUCUAAUAAUACUUAGUGCACUUCAACGGCGUAAUCGACAAAAUAAAAAAAUACGAAGGACGCAAAAUACAACACAAACCAUAAUAUAAUUUAGUAUAAGUUCAAUUUAAUAAUCGACGGUCAGCCUAACUUAUUCAACAUUAUUGCGAAGAAAUAAAUUUAAAAAUACAAGUCAUCCUUCACGUGUUGCCGAACAAAUUUGUAUAAAGUAGUGUGUGUUGGGGUGGUUUGGACAAAUCAAUUUCCUUGGAAUACUAUGCAAAAUCUAAAGAAAGACAAAAAGGUUAACUGUUUUUAUCUGUAAGGUUAACUUGUUAUAUAAAUACUCUGCAAUUCCUCCACAAACGCAAGUGAUCACAGGGAUCCAACUUUCUGUGAACUCUCUCCCUCAACGGCCAUUUUUUCAAUGAGGACAGUAGAUGAUUAUCAUCAUCUCUUCUUCCUCUUCCUGCAGAUUAUUGCCGUUGAAGACGGGGAGUUCAUGAAAUGUUUGCUCUCUUCCUCUCCCUCUUCCAACGGCGGUACUAGGAUGGUUGGAGUCGACAUCGGACGAUAUUUCAAAUUUGAGGUGAAUUUUUAAAGCAUUAUGUCUAAGUCAAUUUUAAUGAUUUCACGUAGAAUUUCAUGAAUUUCGAGCCAAAUGAUGCUUGCAAGUAUAUCUCAAUGUCCGGUAAUGCUUUAUUUGCUUUUAUGACUAAUAAAUUUACCAAAUGGUUGUUCUAUAGCGUAGGAGAAAGGAUUUGGUCAUCCAUGGAGCGGUAUUUCAUCUGCUUUGGAACUCUAUUUUUAUUUUAUAUUUUGUUAUGUAUUCACCCUAUUUUGUACUAGUUGUGUCUAUCCUCGUUCAAUUAGGACCCUUGUGGUCCAGUUUGAUGUUUUGAAUUAGUAUUUUUAGUAAUCUUCAGGUCACGUCAUGAUAAAGAAAUCGAGCAUAAAGUCAUUAAUUCAAACAUGAGCUAAAUCGGGAGUGGGAUGCACUCGGAUGGACGAAACAACAAACGGGAGCACCCAUCGCGUUGGUGUUCAUUACAUGGAGCGGAUAGUCCAUUUGACCGUCUGUCCAAGAGUUUCCAUAAUUUUUCAGCAAUCAAGACAUCCGUUACGCGCUGCGCACACGCAUACAUCCUUGUGCAUAAUCAACUUUCAAAUGUAUUAUAUAACGAUGACAAAGAGUGAAUGAAUCAACCUUCAUUUUUAGUUGAACCCCAAAACUUUUAUGCGAACCCUCGGAUCCCCUUUCACCCCUACACCAUUGUCCAACCCCUCAAAUCAUCAACCCCUCUCAUUCAUAAUUGGAGCAAUGGUGCUACUUGGAUAAGAUUGGCCAAGCUUGGAUUUUGAUGAUCAUCUAUAUUUCUAAGUUUUCUCUUUCUUUCUUCUAUGAAUGUGUACCGGAUGUUCAUGAGGGAUUUUUCUUCUAUGAGGUGUAGCUAAACCCCUUAGGGUAGGAUUUGUGGAACUCUAAGGAGAAUAAUGAGGAUUGAUCAUGUGUGAUUAGUUUAUCAAUGCGUGGUUUGACCUAAUUUAAUGUUAUGUUAUUUUGUUUUUGUUCUUCAAUCGUGUGAUAUGCCCAUACUUUUUGUGUGUGUGUGUAAACGCGGAUGCGAAUGCAUCCUAACUUUCGUUCAAAAUCAAGCAAGAUUUGGAUGAGAUGAGUACGGUAAUGUCGGAUCAGAGAGUUCAAUACAGUGGGAACCAAAAGGAAAGAAGUGAACCUUAUUAGCUAAAAAGUAUGCUGAUUAUUUUCCGAAAACAUGUGAAUUAUCUGAACUUGACAUUCGCGACUGAGAAGCUUUCGAGCAUGACAAACAAAGAUAGAAUGGAUAUAAUCCUUAGAGGACUGAUCAACGCACUUCGGUCAAGUUGCAGCUGAAUUUGAAUAUACUUGAUGAGAGGCUUAUUGAUUGGUUUUAUUGGUCUUUUAGCUUUACAAAGAAUAUAGCACCCAAAUCAAACAAAGUUUUAGUCUUAUAUAUUCUUUGUAAUUUUCCACCUUUGCUAAAUAAAAUGUAAAACCUUUCUACCAAGUACCUAGUAAAAAUAAAAAUGUAAAAACUAAAGACCUAUUACCUUAGACAAGCAGACCAAGUUACCCGAUUGACUGGGCCUGGGCCAAUGCCCAAGUACAAAACUAAAUGAGACCGGGUCAAGCCCAAGGCGGAAAAGUGAAGACACGCGGCUCGGGAAAACGUUGCUGGACAUUCCUACGUGUCAUAUAACGAUUGGUUGUUUUCACGUGGCUUGCUCCCUGAUUGGCCGGGACAGCACGAACCCCGGCUCGUUCCCAAGAUCCGUGCACUCUAUAUCUCACUGCAUCAACCCUUCCAUUUCAAUAUAGAUUUUGAUCUCCACGACUGGGCUUUCAGCUUAGCCCUUCUCUCUCUGAUUCAUCGACUGUGGAUUCAAUUUCCGAGAUUCAGAUCCGGAAGCCAUAUCCACCAUCUAGGCUGUGCUGUGUCUCACAGGGGAAAAAGUAAACAUGGUCCGAGCGAACAAGUUGCUGCAGGUCUCUAUGCGACUCGCACUACUCUCCGUCGUCGUAGCUCUCGUCUCUCAAGCCCCGCAGCUACGCGCCGCCGGCGACAACGCUGUAAGAAACUAGCUAGGGAUUUUUAGUCUAUAUCAUUUUUAAAUCUGGCUUCUGAAUUUGUAAUGGUUGUGUUGAUCAUGCUAAUUAUGGUGUUUGUGGAUGUAGAUCUUGUUUGAGUCGUUCGAUGAGCCUUUUGAAGGGCGAUGGAUCGUCUCCGAGAAAGAUGAUUACCAAGGUAAAACGAUUGAUCUCUUGUUAGUCUGGAUCUCUUUUAUCGAACUUCUUAGUCCAUGCUACUUAAACAAGAAGGGAAUUUGACAAUUUGUUCGUUAAGUCCGACGAAGUGAUCCGUCAAUGAGGGAUAUCAAUUAUUGCCUGCUGUUGCAUGUAUAGAUGUUUUCUCUGAUUUAGUAGUUCAUUUAAGAGAUGUGCAUCUAAGAUGUGGAGCGUUAGAUGGAUAUGAUUUGAUUUGUUUUUCUAUUUUUUUAUAGAACUUUGCUUGAAGCUUAGUUUAAGAUACUGUGAUGCGAUUUCCUAUAGUUGAUCUUGCGGUGUUUAGUCUGAUUGUACCAUCUGCUGAAAGUGUCUAUAUGGCAAGCAUUUCCAUUUCCAGUUCUAUUCUGCGUGGGGAGGAUGACAAAUGUCUCACCCGUUUGAAAAGUUCGGUUCCGGGUUGAACAUUUGAAAGAAUAGAUUGUCGAGAUGCACUGUGGAAGUCUGAUUGUGCUGAUCGGCUAUUAUUACUGCAUAUUUGGUUUUAUGAUCAUCCUGGAUUGACCUUUUUGUCAUCUCAAAUCUGAUUCUUUUAGGUGUAUGGAAGCAUUCUAAAAGUGAGGGACAUGAUGAUUAUGGACUUCUUGUGAGUGAGAAGGCCAGGAAAUACGCCAUUGUUACAGAGCUUGAGAAGGCAGCGGAUCUCCAGGAUGGUACCACUGUCCUACAGUUUGAGACUCGUCUUCAGAAUGGGCUUGAGUGCGGUGGUGCUUAUCUCAAAUAUCUCCGCCCUCAAGAAGCUGGGUGGAUAGCUAAGGGGUUCAACAACGACUCACCUUAUUCGAUUAUGUUUGGACCAGACAAAUGUGGAGCCACAAACAAAGUGCACUUCAUCCUGAAGCACAAGAACCCCAAGAGCGGGGAGUACGUGGAACACCAUCUGAAGUUCCCACCUUCAGUGCCUUCAGAUAAGCUUACCCAUGUGUACACUGCGAUCUUGAAGCCAGACAAUGAGGUGAGGAUCCUCAUUGAUGGUGAGGAAAAGAAGAAAGCCAAUUUCCUUUCUUCCGAAGACUUUGAGCCUGCUCUCAUCCCCGCCAAGACCAUCCCUGAUCCAGAUGACAAGAAACCCGAGGACUGGGAUGAGAGAGCCAAAAUCCCAGACCCCAAGGCUGUCAAGCCAGAAGACUGGGAUGAGGAAGCUCCAAUGGAGAUUGAAGAUGUGGAUGCUGUGAAACCUGAAGGAUGGUUGGACGAUGAGCCUGAAGAGGUUGAUGACCCUGAAGCUACCAAACCAGAAGACUGGGAUGAUGAGGAGGAUGGUGAAUGGGAAGCCCCCAAGAUUGACAACCCAAAGUGUGAAACAUCCCCUGGUUGCGGUGAAUGGAAGAGGCCAAUGAAGAGCAACCCUGCUUACAAGGGGAAGUGGCAUGCUCCCAUGAUCGAUAACCCUAGCUACAAGGGUAUCUGGAAGCCUAGGGACAUUCCUAACCCAGACUUCUUCGAGCUUGACGCUCCCAACUUCGAACCUAUCGCUGCUGUUGGAAUUGAGAUCUGGACGAUGCAGGAUGGGAUACUGUUUGACAACGUUUUGAUAGCAAAAUCCGAGGAGGAGGCUACUUCUGUCAGAGAUGAACUAUGGAAACCCAAGUUUGAUGCUGAGAAGGAGAAGCAGAAUGCCGAGGAGGCAGCAGCUACUGGGUCAGAUGGUCUUGCUGGCAUCCAGGUAUUGACGAUGGUUUCCUUUUUCAUCAUGAAACUUAUCCGUUAUUUUGCAAGCUGUAAUGGAUGUUUACUAACUUUAUUGCAAAUCUCUGUUUCAAUCUUGCAGAAGAAGGUAUUCGACAUCCUUUACAAGGUUGCAGAUAUUCCUUUCUUGAAGGAUUACAAAGACAAAAUCACUGUAAGUUGAUCUCUUUUCCCGACUCAGACCUUGUAAUAAUAAACCAAUACCUAUCCGGUAAGUAUCUAACUUUAUACAUUCAACAAUGGUGCAGGAACUCGUGGAGAAGGCAGAGAAGCAGCCAAACCUGACAAUUGGUGUGCUUGUUUCUAUUGUGGUUAUCAUCCUCACAAUUUUCGCGAAGCUAAUUUUCGGCGGAAAGAAGCCUGUAAGUUCUAAACAUUCUGGGUUUUCUAUCAUGUUUUAUGCAUGUUUGGACCAGGAGGGGUUUUAGGCUAAUGGUAUUUUUGGUGAUGCGUGCGUGAUUAACAGGCCAAAGUUGAGAAGAAGCCGGCAGCUGCCGCUGCGGAGACCUCGAGUAAAGAGGGAAGCAACGGAGAGAAAGAGGAAGAAGAGAAGGAGGGGAACACGACGGCCGCUCCUCGCCGGAGGACAACCAGGCGCGAGUGAAUAUUCUGACGGGGGCAUAGGUUGAAUGAGUUGGGCAUCUAGCGGGGUUUUUUCCUUCUUGUUAUGUAGAAGUUUAGUGGUUUGUUUUUAAUGUUAAUUGUUGGGCGUGGGAUUGAGGAUUCUUAGAAGCUCCUAAGUUUUGAACGUUGCUUUUUUGCUUGAGAAAACUAUGGAACCAGCUCACUAGUGUGUACAAGAAAAGAUAACAUCAAACGCAUCUGUUUCGGACUUUCGAGUGCCCAAAGCCCAAUUGACACCUGCUAUGGAGUCACAUACAUUUCUCAGCCCUGAAAUGUUACUUGCUGGUUUUAUUCUACAGAUGCCUCCUCCAAGAUCAUAUUCAAUGCUUGAGGCUAAAGUGCCAACUUGUUCAAUUAAAGCACCCCAAAAAAGUGCUCUAGUCUUUGGGGCUAAACUGUUCAAAUGCUAUAAAAGAAUGGUAGGCACAAAGAUGUGUACAAUCCAAACAGUGAACAGAGACCCACCCCGUCCAUGUUCUAAGGAGCCAUCUACGAUUUUUUACUGGUAUAUGUUCAUAUGUACGAGUUGUAUGCUAGUAUAUGUUAAUAUUAGAUGGUAUACGUACACAGCACUAAUGUUGAGAAAGAAUGUAAGAUAAGCAUCGUGAAACAAGAGUGAUGAUGAAGCCGUUAAUAAAGAAGAAGAAUAAUAAAGGUCCUCCUUUUGAUCAUGGACCAUUCAAUUAUUUUAUGGAGUUAUUUGUCAUGGAUCUACCCUUUAGUGUCACUGCCAAUUUGUUCUCUUUGGUUUGUAAUAAUAUGUCUUUCCACUAACUAAUAAAAUAUACAGAUAGGUGGCAACUCUGCUUUGCUUUCUUAGCUUAACUUUUUCUACAAGUGUCAAUAUAUACAUCACACACAUACCAUACAACAUAUGUCCGUUGUCUUCUCUGCUAGUCUAUGCUCUGACUGAACAUCAUGAAGGAAAAGGAGAAGAAGGAGAAGAGGAAGAGGAAGAGGAAGAGGAAGGGUAAGGAAGAGAAUUCAAAUCUGUCUCUUCUUUCCUUGAGAGGUUAGAAGAAGAAGAAGAAGAAGAAGAAGCUAUAAACAGGCAAGUCAUAGAGGCAAAAGGGAAGGCCCAAGCCUUUCUUCCAGUGGUGUUUUUUUGGGGGGGUUUCCUUGUUGGUUGUUUCAAACCGUCUUCCGUGUGUUGUUGUCGUCGUUGUCCGUCUCUAUCUGUUUGUAAGUUGAUUAAAAAUAAGAUUAAAGAGUGUUGUCAGUCUCAGACUGGGUUAGUGGGAAAAGGGUGUCUUUGUGUUUUAUCUGAAACGGGCAAGUUUGACUGCUUCCUUUCCUUUGUUUUUCUUUUGCCCUUUGUUUGUAUCAGCACAGCACAGCAGAGACAGAGUCUAUUAAAAGCUUUACCUCCCUUCUUUUAUUAUCAUAUCUGUUAUAAACUUGCUCUUGCCCAAGGCUUCAAGCUGAUCUACUGAUUCACCCGUCAUUUAUUUGAAAUACUACUUAAUAAGUAAGUCUCACUUGUCUUAUCCAUCCUAGCACUUCUCACUUAUCAAUGAUUCCUCUUACAGGCGAUCCAAUUGAAGAGUUGUGUUUCGACUUCAGUUCAUCCACCGAACGAAGCUGCCGAUUUAGCAGCACGAUUUUACUGCUUUCCAUCCGAGCGUCUCCUUACAGAACUAUCCCGAGUACAACACGCGAUCGAAGAUUGGAGAAACAAUGAUCCAGCAGAACUUGCUUUAAUCAAAGAUUGGAGAAACAAUGGUGUGUUUUAAAUUGAUUAAAGUAUGGGGUGAUCCAGCAGAACUUGCUAUUAGAUCAGCCUCAACAAAACAUGGGACAUCAACAACUCUUCAUCUAACAAAACUCUAUGUCCCUUCUUUCAAAACCAGACACUUCUAUUACGCAGCAGCUACUUUCACUAAUCAUAAUCAUAAUAAUACCUAUUUAUUAAUCUCCGUCAUCGUCGUCAUCGCCAACGAUUUCUGGGACUAACUACUCAC
rnacentral:lncRNA from 1 species